rnacentral:lncRNA from 1 species
ACAAAUACCUUAAGUGAUUAUAAAAACCCUCCAUACCUUUUGUUGAACUUUUUUCAUACACAUCUUUCUGGUUGUCAUCAUCUUUCCAUUCACUCCCAUCAUCAUCGUCGUCGUCAUCGUCGUCUACUUCUCUCCCUCCAUCAUUCCCAGCAUCACUCUCACUCGCCGUCUCCCACUCAGAAUCAUCAGCUUCUUGACCAAAGACAUCGCCAGUAACACCUCCAUGCUUUAAAGCUGCUUCUCUGAACAGCCAAGCAGCACGCAUCUGCUUCUUCACCAAUCUUUCAGCAUAAUCAGGAACCUUGUUUUGCCUCAAUGAAAGGUCAGGAUCAUUCGACUGCGAACAUUCAUUGAUAAAUAGAAUGGCAUCCAAUAAGCUCUCCUUAGCUAAGUCGAGCAUGUCAUAAGCCUGGGCUCUUCUCCACAAGCUCUUCGCAUGGCGGUUUGGUGGGUUAUGCAGGGAUAAAGCUCGAGUGGCAUCACUAAUAGCUGCCAAUGGCUGCUGAAGGAGGAGAUAGCACUGCGCGCGGUUACUAUACAAGACUACUCUCUCUUUUUUAGACUUCAUGGGGCAAAGCGCCAAUGCUUCAGAGUACUUAGAAGCAGCUCCAGCAAUAUUACCUGAAGAGAACAAAGAGUUACCUUCGAGUUUGACGACCAACGCUGCCGCCUGUUUUAUGUGGAGGUCUUCCUUUGGCAUGUUCUUUUCCAAUCUUAGCCUCUUCCUGGAGCUAAAGAACUCGGCAAUUUCUUCUUCUGUAUUUGUGCUAAUAGUAUCACAUGUUGGCACAUGUGAUUGGAUACAUUCUUGAAGGACAUUAACAAUAGUGUCUCCAAGUCGUUUAUGAUCACCGAGUGCUGAGAUUUCUGCUAAAUCUAUGAGGGCUGGCGCUGCUUUAUCAAUUACCUGUUAAGAACAGAUAAACAUACAUGUAAUAGAGAUAGAUCAUUAAGGAACCCUCUUGAUUAUAGGCCAUUUCGAAAUAGACACCUAACUUUAAUUUUUUGCAUUUUCUAAUUGACGCCCCCUCAACUUUUACUCGCUUCGGUUUGAGCUGUUAGGUCAGUAUGAUUGGGGAUUCCAUUAAAUUAACUGUCCCCAUUAGCUAUCGGCAGUGAACUGUAGCAGUUAUGUCACUUGAAAAGUAGACAGCCAUUAAAUUUGAGACGAGAACAACGACAAUUGAAAUUGUAAGGAAGUAGAGCUAACGUAUAGUUCGGGGAACAGUCAAAGUCAAGGGGGUUUCCAUACACUAUUGGGUAUAUAAAACAUCUUACCUUAUGGCACGUAUUUGGAUCUUGAACCAGCCAAAGAAGACAAUCGAUAGCCAUAUAUUGCCAGUCAUCUGAAGAACGAGCAAUAUUACACAAUGCUUCAAUCACACCAGGCCUAUUAGCGACAGGACCCCGGCCAAGCUUGUGCUGGCAAAUCGUCCUCAGCAAACCAAUACCCGCCGGCGAGUUUUCAUUAACGAGCCCACCCCACAUUCCCGGUAACUUAACCAAAAAGUCUGGUUUGCAAAUAUCCGAUAAAAACUCCGGCUUAAAAGCAAAGCAGUUAAUCAGCUGCAGAGACCAGCACUGUAGCUGGCUAGCCCACUCCUCAGCUUUCCUAGAUUCCAUCUCCACACCACCCAUGCCACGCGUAAGUAGAUCGCAGUGAUAGCCGAGCCUCCUAUCAACAUACUGGUAAAAAUGAGAGUAGACAAUUUCCAAAGAGCUCGACGCCAACUGAAUGGCAAGCUCGAGAAUUUCCCCGUGGCUUGCAACAGCUGGAAAGGUGCUUUGGUAUGUCGCCAAGUGUCCCAACGCCCUAACGGCAACCCUUUGCUCAACCCAAGUUAACCUACCUCUUAGAAGUUCGACCAAGGGAGGUAUUACUCCAGCAUGAACAGCAGCUUGGGCGAACUCUUCCAUGUUCAUAGUGUAGGACCCAAUUAUGUGGGCUGCAUAAUACGGAAUGUAUAUGUUCUGAUCAUGUGAGAGCCAACGACGAUUCUUUAGCCCUUUCCAUAUUAAAGCGGCCAUGCAUUCGAAAAUCCCCAAGCUAAUAAAUUCGGGAUCGUUUGGAUGGGCCAUCGCAGUGUUCCAGAGGCCGCUGAUAGGGAGAACUUGGCCAUCGUCGUCUUGCGAAGGGAGGUCUCUGAAGAAUUUGCGUACGCUCGAUCUUCUUUUGCUCGGAUUGGCCUCCUUCAUGACGCAGAAGAAGCACUCUGGAUAAGGGCAGUCAGGUGGGAUCUUUUCCAUGAUGAAAACCAACAGCUAAUUGUCAAUUUUAAAGAUUAAAUUCCCAAAGUUUCUCGGUGCUCCACAGCUGCGUCACGGAAUCGCAUUAAUGUUGUGUCAGUUUUGAGAUAUUCAAGCGCAAAUCGCAAAAGAAGUUAAUCAACAUACAAGAAACAUGAAUCCAGAAAAUAUGAAUGACAUGUUUUGACCACACAAAAUGGCAUAGGCAUCGAGAUACAUGUGCCCUGUAGAGUAACCACUGAACACAACAAGAUGAGGCACUCUUAUUCGUCAAAUAGUCAAAUCAUUAUAACAAUAAAUUCUCUUUCUCUUAAUGCCGUAUUCGUGUUACGGGAUCCUACUCUCUCGCCAAUCCCCUCUACUGUACUACUAAUUUUGUACUUUACUUAUUAACUGCAAAAAACUCCCCUAUAAGCUUAUUCUUGAGGGCAUUCUCAAUUAAAUAUUGCAGAGAAAUUUAAUUUAUAUACAAGUCUAAAUUGAUCAGAAUGAGAAACGAUAUGAAAUUCUACUCGCAAUUCAGUUCAGACUUUCAUAUUAAAAACAUAAUAAAAUAAAAGAGCCCCUUUUAUGACCAGAUCAUAAACUUGUAUUCCCAGAGAUCCAUUCAUUCCAACACCAGAGCAUCAGCACAGUAAAACCAAAAAAAAAAAAAACAAAAAAAAACAAACAAAGCAAUUAAGAAAAAAAAUUAAUUUUGGUUUUCCCUCAAAAGAGAAAUGUACGAUCAAUCUGAGGGACUCGAAGGAUUAGAAAUCGAUUACAAAAUUCCAUCUUCCAUCUUCUUCCCCAAAACUGCUAUCACCAAAAAAAAAAAAAAAAGACAAAGGAUGUCGCAAGUUUCCAAAAUAAAACCAAAAUAUAUAGGGAAAAAAAAAAAUUAGGGCAUGCGCUACAACGGAAAAAGAGAAAACCCAUAAAGGAAAAAAAGCAAUCUUUUAGGAAAUACACGAACAAAUUGGGCGAAACCCACAAAUUAAUUCAACAUGGAGACACAGGUAAAGGGAAAAGGGCCAAAAAAAAAAAAGACGUUUUUUGGUACCUCAACGGAAACCCAAGUAGAAAUCGAAGCAGAAACCGCCCCAAAUCGAACUCCCAACGCAAUGAGCGCCUUAAUGCACUACGGAAUCGAUCAAAGACGACAUUUUUAUGGACGUGGAGGCGCGAUUAACCUCAGAAUCCUCCAGAGACAACGAUAAUGAAGGGAGAGAAGGGGAAUAGGAGCGAGCAAAUGAGAGAGCUUGCGUAGCUGUGGGGCUCGAACGGGCGAAAUGGGCUCUCCCUCUCUCUCUCUCUCUCGAUUGGGGAACCAAAGGAGAAAAAGAAGAGCCUUUGGAUCCCACACUCCCAGCGAAGGGAUAUGUCACAUUAUUGCGUUUUAAAGCUUACACUGCACACUCCACACGCAGUAACUUUCCGGCUUUGGGGACGAAGACAAAGCCUUUAUUGCCUGCACCCGCUGUAGGACUACGUUUCAUACACCCCAGCUGUGAGCUGUUAUAUUAGAGGUUUUCAAAUUAAAAAAAAUCUAAUUUUUUGAAUGUACUUUAUGAUAUUUAUAGGGUUAAUUACACCAAUGGUCCCUAACCUUUACACUAUUUAUCAAUUGGUUCCCAACUUUUUUUUUUUGCAAUCAAGUCUCUAAUCUUUUAAUUUCAUUUCAAUUAAGUCUCAUCCGUUAGAUAGCCGUUAAAAUAGACGGAAAAAGCCACGUCAUCUCCACAUUAACGCCACAGAGGCGCCAUGUCAGCGCCACGGUGGAGCUGUGUCAGCGGAUUGCAAAAAAAAAAAAAGGUUGGAGACCAAAUUGAAAAAUGGUACAAAGGUUGAGGACCAAUAGUGCAAUUAACCAAUUAAAUUUAUAAAUUCAAAAAAAAAAAUUUAAUUUAAGAUUUAAAUUUUAAAUUUAAAUUUUGAUUUUGAAUUCAAAUUUAAAUUGGAAUUCAAAUUCCAAUUUUGUAUUUAAUUUUAAAUUUUAAAUUUUAAAUUUUAAAUUCAAAUUUAAAAUUUAAAAUCAAAAUUUUGAAUAUGAUUUUAAAUUUAAAUUCAUAUUUUAAAUUUAAAUUUCGGUUUCAAAACUUUCAUUUUAAAUGUAAAUUGAAAUAUCAAAAUCAAAAUCAAAAUUUUAAGUUUGAAUUUAAAAUUUAGAUUCAAUUAAAAAUUUAAAUUUAAAAUUUGAAUUUCAAUUCAAAAUUUUAAUUCAGCUUUAAAUUCAAAAUUCAAAAUUCUAAUUUCUCGUUAGUUUAAAAUUUUAAUUUUAAUAUUAUUUUCAAAUUUAAAUUUAAAAUUUUGAAUUUUUUUUAGGGACUAAAAUGAAAAAUGUGCAAAGUUUAGGGACCUAAUUGACAUGCAAAAGGUUGCCACAUAGACGCUGACGUGGCGAUUCCGUUAAUUUUAACAAUUUUUUUAACGGUUGGGAUCUAAUUGUAAUAAAAUUAAGAGAUUAGGGACUUAAUUGCAAAAAAGAAAAAAAAUUGGGGACUCAAGUGAAAAUUGAUGGAAAGGUUGGGGACUACCGGUGUAAUUAACCCAUAUUCAUAAGCUAAAAACUGUAAAGAAGUUAACUGCACUAUCAACUGUUUUGCAUCAACUCGUUUUUAAUUCAUUUGAUUUGAGUCAGUUAAUAACACUUUAACUUAAAAUUUUAAAUUAUUUAUUUAUUUUAAUAAAUUCAAAAUAGUCUAUAAUUCAAGUAAGUUCUGUAAAUUUUUAUCCUAUCUGUAAUUUUUACAUAUCAAAAAUUAUAAAUUUUACCUAAAUCGCCAACCUUUAUGGUGUUUUUUUUAUCUUUUUUUUUUUUUCUCUUAUACUGCUUAAUGCCUGAAUAAUAGUCUCAAAAUAUAUGUCUUUUAUACAUAAAUUUGUUGGAUAGUGUAGAUCAUAAUCAUUGAAUUAGAUUUUUGUUUUGAAAUAUUAAUCGGUAACUAUAACGCACAGUGAAUGAAGCAUAUGUAUAGGCCAGGUGCAUGAAAUAAAUUCAUGUCUCUUUGAUAUUUCUCAAUUUGCUUUGCCUUUGAGUGCAUAGCACUCCGCUGUUUGUGGAAACUGUUUAUGUUGCGAUUAGUGCAAAGAUUAUGUAUUAAAUGAUCACGGAUUUUAAAUUUUUUCCUUUUUUUUUCCAUGUAGGAUUUGAAAAUUAAUGUGAGUACAUUCAUGUAAUGAGUGAAAGAAUAGGGUCUGAUUCACUUUUUUUUCCUCUUUUGUAUUAAAAAAAAUUGGAAAAUGCAUUCCCUACAGCCCGAGGGUAAAAAAUUACUGGUGAAGUUGUAGGAAAUCCACGCUCAAUUUUUCAAAUUUUUGAAAAAUACAUUCCCCACAAAUAAAAGGCGGAAAAUUACUACACACAAAGUUGUAGAAAAUUCAUGCUCUAUUUUUUAAGCCCGUGCUAAUUUUUUUGGAAAAAAUAUGCACACAAAUACAUAUUGCACAAAAAUCCAUUAGUUCUACUCUAAAAAAAUAAAAAUUAUAAAAAUAUGUAAAAGCUUUUCCAUUAGCCACCUAAAAUUGCUAUUAAAAUUUGGAGUUGAAGCGGUCUUGUACUACAAUAUCUGAAUUGAUAGCCUGCUGGUGGAUUAUUUGGGAGGUUAGGAAUAGUGUGAUAUUUAGGAAUACUCAACCAGACCCCCUCCAAGCAGUCCACAAGAUUAAACACUCAAUGAAGAUUUGGGACCAAAUUCUGCGAGGCCGACGGUAGACGAACUUCUUCUUUUUUUAUCUUUUUUUUUUUCUUUUUUCUUUUUUUAAUCGCCCCUUUCAGAGGCCGACGUUGCCUCACCCAUGUAGCAUAAUUCAUUUUUUCAAUGAAUGAAGCGGGUAGCGUGCUACCUAUUUCUCAAAAAAAAAAAUUUGGAGUUGAAGCUAGAAUACAUCUAAAAGUAUAUAGCAUUCACUUGUUUUUAAUUUUUUAGUCCUUGAAUCAAAUACUAUUUUACCACCGCCACUAAAAUUCUAGGCAUUAAAAGGCUACGAAGACUGAAAAUAAGUGAAUAGUGAUGCUUCUAAUAAAAAUAGUUUAGCAUAAUUCUUAAAUUUUGAAGGGAUUAUAAUGCAUAUCUCCCCUCAACCACAACCUUGCUAUAUUCUAUUUUUAAGUUUCUGGACCAGUUAAAAAGUAACGCUCUAAUGAGUUCGGAACUUUUACAAGCUGAAGCAAGAUUUUAGUUCUAAGACUCCAUUUGUAUAGGAAGUUUUUCUAUAUUGCAGUUUCAUAAUGCCAGUUAUAUUCAGUCAAUUAAAUACUUUAUUUUGAGAGAAAAGUAUAAUAAAAAUAAAUUUUUUUUAUAAUCUAUGAUGUGAUAGAUAAAUUGUAGAAAAGAAAUAUGAUUGGUUGAGGCACGCCACAUAGGAUAUAUAACUGACAUAUUCUAGACCUUUUCCGAUUUGGAAAUGUGGUAAGAAUAUUCUGUAUAUCGUACUCAUUAGAGUACAGUAAAAAAUAUUAUAUUUAAUUACUUUCGUAUGUACUGUUACAUUGAAUUUUAUUAUAAUAAAUUAAUUAUGAUAUAUUUUUUACAAUUCCAAUAAAUACAAAGUAAUAUAUUUCUAUCUAUUUUCACUUUAACUCCGUUUUAUCUAAUGUUAUUGGAUUGCCCUCAAUAUCAAGAGAGUUCUAAGAAGAAGAUGUGUCAAGAACUCUUACAAGCGUCUCGGUAAAGCUAUAUUAAUAGUUAAUUAAUUCAUUAGUCAGGGUACAUCAACAAGGAAAAAAAACAUAGAAAGGGCAAAAAAAAAAGAAAAUCUCACUAUAUUUUCUUACUCAUUUCUAAUGCCUUCCUUACUUGUAUUUGGGCAAGAUUAAAUUAUGGUAAAAAAAAAAAAGUCUCUAUUUGGCCAUAUUAGAGCGAAAUAUUAAAUGGUGUUAUAUUUGCUAGCCUUAUGUAUUAUAAGAUAGUCAUUUAAUAAUAUAUUUAAACAGCCAGUUUAAACAAUGUUUCUCAUUUUUUAAGUUAAUAGAAAAAGAUUCUCAUUAAAUGUAACGACACGAUUCUUGGUUCAGAUAAAGAUCAAGAGAUUAGUACUAUAGGAUCACCUAAUUUGUCCUGCAGGACUAUGUACAAGUCAUUACAAAGGACUCUAAAAAAAUAAAAAUAAAAAUAAAAAUAAAAAUGACCUUUUCCUUUUUGUGAAUAGAAGCUUCUAAGUCAUUUGAACGAUUCAUCGAAUCUUAUUUGCAUAAUGGCAUCUUACAUGCGAUUGAAAGUGUGUUCAUGAUUAUGUUUAUAGCUUAUGAGUCGGUAAAUUUAAAAGGAAAAAAUAUAUGAAACUUAUCUGAACGGUAGACCAUUUAGAUUUGACCUACUAAAUAUUUUUAAACUUUGAUUUUAUUGCUUAAUCUUUCAAUUUGUUUGAUGUUACUUAAUCCAUGACACUUUAAUCGUAAAAUUUGAAUGCGUCACAUAUUUUUACAAAUUUGAAUGAGUCAUGAUUUGGCUACAGAUUUACUUAAUCCAUGACACUUGGAGGGUGAUGGAUAGGAAAUGUGACUAGUGGUGUAAAAAUAAUUUUUCCUGAAAUAAAUUUUUCUCUCAAACCACGACGCUGCCCUGUUGCGGAGCUUUAUUCUUUGUCGGCAUCGCUCUUUUGUUUUAUCUUAAUUAAUGUAAUAAAUAUAAGUUUGUUAUGGCUCCUGUACCAGGGUACACAAACAGCUGUAAUGGUAUGCAGAAAACUAGUCUAAGAACUUAAGAGCAACAAUAAAAUCUAGGGAUUUAAAUAGCUUCUCUAGACACAACAUGGUUUCGUUAAGCCGUAAUUGCUACGUUACGGGAAGUGGCACAUCGAAUUCACGUGGGAGAGUACAUCGAUUACAUUGUAGGACAGCUAAGAUCUUUUGAUAUCAGGGUUGUGGUGUUCUUUUUUAUUAUUAUUUUAAUUUCUUUUUUUUUUCAGUUUGAUGGAGAGUUUUUGAUAUCUCGGUAAGAUUAUAAUGAAGGAAAAUUACACAGAGAUUCAACAGAGCCUUAUUUGAUCACCCUAAUGAAUCCUCACAUCAUCAGAACAUUGACAUGAUGGAACUUGUCGUGAACUGAUAAAAGAAAAAUUAGUUGUACAGUCGAAGUUUUGGAAUCUGCACCUAACAUCACAUUCACUGGUGAAGCCUACUUUCUCAUUUGCUUUCGCGGCUGAAUCUUUGAUGAGCCCCAAGCCCAAAUUACAAUUACCAAUCUUCAUAAAACCCAAACAAGUAGUAUAUACAAUUUUCUGUGUAAGAAACAUGGGAAAAGGAAAAGGAAACUGGUGCCCCAAGAUCCUCUCCAAAACUGAACCUCAGAUAUUCUCUGUAAGUAAAAAAAAAAAAGGUUGAAUCUUAUCUGGACUUCUAGCAUCAUCUUCAAUUCUUGAUAGUCUCUUGUAAGUAUUAUUCCGAGUUGGAAUGAUCAAGAGUAGAAAAUGUAGCCGAGUCCAAAACCUCUUCCGAGUUGUCAAGAAAAUCCUUGUAUCUCCUAGCUCGAUGCGAUUCAACUCUAUUGCUAUAAAAGCGCUUUCUCAUCAUUCUCGUCAGCCUCGAAAUCUUCGUUCCCAUAAACAAUAUCAAUGACACUCCUUUCUCCCCCCAAAAGCUCCUUACGAGAAACUGCAAUUUCAGAAUAAUCUCCGACUUCAUCAGAGCUCUCCAACUCUAUCUGCUGCAUUUCUGAUGCUAUCAAACUAUCCAUCCUCGCCCUCUCUCUGUCCCUUGGAUAGGUGCGGUAAAGGAAUGAAUAUAUCAAGCAACAUAGUGUCAUUGGAAUGGCGAUAGCAGUGUAAAGUGCCUUUGCUAAGGACGCGGCAUUUUCUCUGUCUGUUUCAAUGCUGGUACUUGCACCUUUUCCAUAAGGAACUGGCUUGUAGCCGUAGACACGCUCGGCUAGAAGGCCAACAACAGGUGGAGCAAAUGAAGCGAGCACAGAUUCAAAGGAUCGGUCAAGGGCAUAAAUACUUGUUCUUGACUUCUCAGGGACAAUCUCCGCAAAUAUGGGGCUGCGUGAAGAACAAAACCAUCAGUAAAUAUUCGAAAUAGCUAGCUGCAGAAUGUGGCACUGACUAAAAUCAUUCAGAAGAUGUUUCUUAACUUCCAUGAGGGCAAUUUAAUGAGAACUACCUAAUUUAACAAUGCAAGAAAAAGCGAGAAUGAUUCAAAAUCUGUGCAUUAAGUGAAUUCCACAAAACGGUGUCUCUUGAUUCUGAAUGCGGAAAAGCAAGUAGUAAGCUAUCCAGCAAGGUAUAGGAAAUAAUUAAUAACUUGAAAGCUGUAUUUCUAUCUGAAUAGGUUACCUUAAUUGGUAACCAUUUAGUACCCGUUCACUUGUUACAUCAGUAAUGGCAUAUGUGGCUUACAGCUCUCAAAUAAGAUAUGCACUUUUAAGGCAUCACCCAAUAUAUUUACUCAUAAAAGCCAUGAAUUAAUAUAAAUGUUAACUACACAGCAGGUGUAAAAUGCACUAUAGAUUCUUCGUUAAUUAUGAAACCUCUAAAAAGCAAGGCAUAUAGCAGAUGUGCCUUGCAGAUCCUGUGUACUGGAACCACCUUAGAUCAUCUGUUUGUACAUAAACAUGAUUGACUAGAAAUAAAAAAAAACAUUGUAAAUUGCACCUUAGCUCAGCACUAGAAUCUAUAGCAGAAGGGGUAGGAAAUUUCUCAUGACUUCCAAUUCUAGUAGCCGUUUUCGCAAAUUUAGCAAAUAUCUCACAUUUCUCGUUGCAUGUUAUGAUAGCGCGAGUAAUAUCAUUAUCAUUCUACUCUCUUAAAAGUAGAAAAGAAAAAAAAAGAAGAAUUAAAAUGCCAACAUACUUGUUUGUGGCAGGAGCAUUCCAGGAGAUGCUAAGACCCAUAAUGAACAUGACAAAGGCGUGCCCAAAAGCUGUGGAGGGGUCAUCAGGCAAGGCCAGCAUCAAGAUGGCCCCAAGUGGGAUUGCAGAAGCUGAGCUUAUCUGCGACAAAAUAAUUCUUCCAGAGUUUGGGUACCUUUUCGCAAGAGAAUCGCCCAUCUUUCCACCCACUAAUCCCCCAAUCGAACUUGCCACAGCAAACAUGCUCAUAAGAAACCCUGUCCCCUCAUGCGAAAACCCCAUGAGCUCCAACCACAUAGGCGCAAAUGAUAGGGCGGACCAGGGAAAUGUGCCAGUAACACCCUGAGCUACAAUAAUUCGAAAAGAGGGGAUUUUCAUGACAGCCUUAGCUUCUAUUAUAAGAUCUUUUACUUCUUUCAGUGCAGACUUUCGUGCAGCAAGCUCAGUAUUAGUCGUUACUCCAUCCGGAAAAUGCGGAUCCGCUGCAAAGAGUCGGACCAAGAUUCCUACGACUACGCUUAUUAUGGCUACAAGAUGGAAGGCUAUUCUCCACCCGGCAAUACCCAUGAAUGAAGUUGAUGCCAGUAGGAGGGUGAGAAUCCCGCCAAUUAUGGACCCCAGGUUUCCAGUAAGUUGUAACCAUCCAAAGGCGGAGCCGCGUGUGCUAUCAUUGGUUGAGUCGGCAACAAGAGACUGGAUGGCUGGGGUCACUAGGGCGAGCCCAACACCAUUUAACCCUCUUGCAAUUGCUACCUGCACAGUUAUCAAGUUUAAAUCACAUCAGCACACAUUUUUUUCAAGGCCAAACUAUCGUAAUCUUCUAGGAAGUUCGAUUUCUCGUAAACAAGCACAGUUGAGAAUUAGACCAACCAGAUAAAUGUGUAUCUUUUUCAACAUGUACAAUCUAAUUUCCACUCAAAUAAUCCCAUUGUUGGAAAGUCACAGUAGUCAUUAAAUAACCAAUGCUAGCAAGACCUCUUUACCUAACAUCAAAGCAUCCUGCACUGAACUUACAGACUAGAUUAUACACUUAAGCAAAUUAAAAUGGGAGAUAUUUAUAGUGUUUAUUUUUUUUCAGUAACUUAAUUAAUCUCGUUUCCCCUCUGAUUGAAACCUCAAACUAUCGCAGCAACCUAUUCAUAAUUACAAAUAAUUGAGGGGCAAGUCCAAGCGCCAGAAAAGCAGAGAAAGGUAAGCUCAAUGGCAAUGUUGUUAUAAACUGAUUUUGGAGAGCCAAUGUCUCAAAUGUUCACAAGUGACACACUACAUUAAAUUAAAUUUAAUCUAUAAUCUCCUGCCAAGAGGCAGAAACUAAACUAAUCCUCUUCUACAUUACAGCUAAUGCACAAUCCCCUGCCAUGUGUCAACAACUAAGCCUACAAGCAAAAAUUCUUAUCCAUUUCGGAUAAACUAAAGUGUUAUUAAAUAAGCAUCCAACGAUUAUACAUCACCGACUAAGUAGUAACCACGCAACACCUCCAUUUCAUGAUCGUCGCCGUGUUAUUAAAUAACAUCAAGAUCAUAUUUUCUUAUUUAUAAAAAGAAAGGGUUUCAGCUCAAUUCACCGAAUCCACACUGCAUCCUAUAAUUAACGCUAAACUUUUUCUACAAUACUAUUCAUAAAAUCAAAACAACAACAAAAUUGUAAGUACAUAUUAUGCUCUAUUCAUAUAAUCAAAACAAAAACGAAAUAAUAAGUGGAUAUUACGGUAACCGCGCAACAAUACUAAAGCCAGUUCACCGCUCGAUUCAACUCCCAAACCCACACAGACCCCAAAUCACAAUUCACAGCACAACAAUAGCAACCAAAAGAGAUCGAGAUCAAUCCCUAACCUCGAAGAAGGUGUCGGAAACCGCGACGAGGAAGGUGGCCGCGGCCCACAGGAAGGCGCCGAGGGCGAUGACGUGCGCCCUGUUAUGCCUCACGGCCAUGUACGCGGCGAGAGGGUAACACGAGGCUUGGACGAUGGAGCGAAAUAGGGUUAGGGAUCCGAGCCCCGUGGGGGUAGUGUUGAGCGCCGCGCCCACCUCCUUGUACACCGCGGGGAGAAGCGCCUCGUCGGCCCUCUCCAUGAUCGAGGCCAAGUUCACCAGCACCAGCGUGCGCCGCUCCUUCCCCCCCAUCGCCAUGGGAGACCCUCCUCCUCCUCUUCGCUCCUCCCUCCUCGAUCGAUCUAGGACGAAGCUCAAAGGGAGGAGGAGAGGAAGUGAUAGAGACGAAGGGGGAAGAGAUCAAGGAGAGAGAAAAAAGAGGGAGCGUUUCGACCCGCGCGGGUACGGGUCGUGUGACGCGGAUAUCACUCCGCGAAGGAGAAUAUUCCGCGUGCGCGUGGUUUGAAAAUUUGAAUUGGGAUCGCGAGUUUUGACUACAUUAUCUACCCGGGGAGGGAGAGUUUGAAUUGUUCUGGACGGUUUGACUUUUCAAGGAAGUGAAAGCUUUUGGAAUGAGAACGAAAUGCUUUCUCAAAUCCGAAUCAAUUCCUAAUUUUAUCUUUUUUUGCAGAUCUUAUUUGGUACUAAUUAAAGUGUAAAAGGGUAUCUAUUAAACAGCAUUUCUCUAAAUAAUUAAAAGAGACUUUUGCUCACAAAUGGUGUAAAAGUUUUUUUUAAAAAAAAUUUUGGGCAAACUUAUAAGGACGCUAUUCUACUCUACUCGAGAGUGUAAAGUUGUUGAUAAAAUUUUAAGCAUACCCAAAUAAUUACUGAAUAAAAAAUUUCAAUAUCCAAACAAGAUCUUAUUGAACAGUAUAACGAAACAUGUGAAUUAAAAUUCAAAGACAUGAUGCUUGAAAGGAUUUUUGUUUAUUCUACGUAAUUCGCAUUUUCACCUGAAGUUGCAUCCUGCAGGUCCCCUAUAGAAACCAAUGCCCGGGCCAGCUAUGUUUGUUGAAAUAUCACAACAUGCAGAGCGGAUACUAUUGGUUACAUAGAACAGGCAAUCAUCUUGCUUUGGCACCACUUGCUGAUUCUCGUCACCUAUGAUCGUCGUGCGCCGCACGUACGCGGCUUGUCCGUAGCUUUCGUACAGGUAAUGCCCGCUACACUCCGGAGCAGGGGUGUCAGCGAGCCGAACAUUAGGUUUUUAGCUUUUGGAUUGAGAAAUGUAUUGUUAGAAUAAUGUGGGCCCCCUAGAGUUAAGUGAGUGGUUGGUUGAAUAAUAUAAUCUAAUGGGUAAAAAUAACCAAAAGAUUAAAUCUAACGGUGAAAAACUCGAUAGCACCAAGCCGUUGGUGCUAUUGAUAGUAUCCCAGCCUAUAUAUAUAUAUAUAGUACGGCUACUAUACUCUUAUGAGUAUAGAGCCUUUUGUACUCAUAAAUUUUUUACCGUUUGAUCUACCCUUUAAUCAUUUUCAUCCGUUAAAUUAUACUAUUCAACCAGCCACCCACUCAACCCUAGGAGGCCCACUAUCAACCUAAUCGUAACCACUUUCAUCCCAACCGCACAUUUUUUUAUCUGAACGGUCAAAAAGUUAUGAGUAUAAAGGGCUCUAUACUCAUAUAAGUAUAAUAACCCCAGCCUAUAUAUAUAUAUAUAUAUAUAUAUAUAUAUAUCCUUCUUUUUUGACCUAAUUGGCCUGCAACAAUACUUUAAUCGGAGCGAAGUAGAGUCAGAGCUCGAGCGAGCUAAGCUGAGCUUGGUUAGUCUCUAAGUUUGUCUAAAGGCUAGCUUGAGCUUGACUUGAUCUAGCAGGGGUCGAGUUUAAGCUCCAGUUGCCAAACUCUCAAGCCCGCUCGGCCUCGGUGUAAGACUAUUUUAUCUACUAUUUACGUGGUUUUAAUUUACGACUCUCAUGAUGCUAAGGGGGUGUUGUGUUUACAAUUUGGUUAAAAAUCAAGUUUGGUGUAAGUAACAAAUGUUGGUCUUCUCAUCUGGUAACGUAAUGCCGAAAAAUUUUCAGCAUUUAUUGUGAGGCUAGAUUUUUAAAUUUCACUAUAACAGAUGAUUUUGAACUAAUUUUUUUUAGAAAAUAGUUUUUAGUAAUUUAUAUCUCUAGCUACUUACCCAAUCUCGCACAAUCUUCAUGAUGAAUGGCAAAGCGAAUAUUUCCACUCAUAAUUAAUUUGAUUUCCGGUCGAAUUACAAUUUUAUGAAUCCAAACGCCCCACGUUGAAACUUAUUCUACUGAAUUUUUAUUCGCCACUUUAACCGUAGACAAUUUUGCAAUCGAUUACGAAUUCAUACCAAUUACUCUGUUUGAGAUUGUGGGAGAUUGCAUUAAGUGCGGACAAAAGUAUGAUAAGAAAAAAUUAUAAGUAUUUCCGUAUGUAAGAUAAUGCUGUACAUUCAUCUCCGUGGAACAGGUCCACGGGAUGUGUGUGUAUACGAACUUACGAAGAGGCUGGGGUCGUUCGCGUGUAUACACGUGGCACCAUUUAGCGUUCGCCUCCGUGUACCGUGGGCCCACGUUAUAGGAGGCCCACUCGUUUACUACGUAACUGUGGGCCUACUACGUAGCCUGUGGCCCCAUUUAACCCAAUAGGAUUUCGUUUUUCUCUUUGUUAUGUAAUAAUUUGUUCGUCAGCAGGACGCAAUGAUGAUGUCAGUAUAAAGUUGCUGGGCUUUACAUUAAAAAUGGCCCGGCCCAAUAAAAGACAAGCCCGAAUUUUUUCAAUAUCUACAACUCGGGAUAAUUUUAAGCUUUAAAAUUGAAGGUAUGAACAUUUAAAUUUCAACCGGCUACCGAACACAAACACGGCCCGCAAACUCAAAUUGGCUUAAAGAUAUCAACAUCCUUCCAUGUAGCGAGAGAGCAAAUUGGGUCGAGUUAUGUUGUAUCUGUACAUUUUAAAUUAAUUGGUUGUUCCUGUGCAGUGGCGGGAGAUCAGGUGGAUCGAGUCACAUUCGAAAUGAGAGAAGGUCGGAUUGGACCGAGUCAUAUUUAAAGUGGCGUGAGGCGGAUUGGGCCGAAUCAUAUUCAAAGUAUACGUUUUAAGUAAAUUGAUUGUAUCCUUCUAACUGCUCGAAUUUUUGAAAAUUAAUGGUCAGCACCAAUAAUCCGAUAGAAAUAGAACUCGGAUAUGCUUGUGUUGCAUGAUGUGAAAGCAUGGCUACAUCCUUGUACGGUGGUUGAAAGGCAAAAUGGGGCCCCCUAUCAAUCGAGUGCCCCACUUUGUUAUUUCCGUAUAAUAGCAACAAUGUUGUGUGUGAUAAAAUGAUGCUUGUGGAGAGAAAUAGCACAACAUUGCUCACAAUAGAGAAAAGGAUGAGGUGGUGGCUUAUGGAAACAUUCAUCAUGGGGUGAGAGACAAGGGAGAGGCCCAGUUUAGGACCUAAUGAAUUGCAGCUUCUUUGUCUUUUAGUUGGUGCAACACAUUGAAGAAGGCAUCAGGGCUCAGACGAAAUGCGCACUAAUAAAUUACUGUUAAAAUCAUAAGAAAUAAAAAUUUAACCUGUUUGAAUGUAAUGUGGGAGUCUAAUCUAUUAAAAGAUCAAGGUGGGGUUCGAAGAGACGAUCGAUCUUAAUAUAUUAGCUAAAACAUCGUUCUGAUGAAAGUAAUAGAUCAAACAUAAUCACUAUAUAUAUUUAAUACAAGACGAAGUAAACAAAGCUGAAUGUUUGAUUGACUUCUAAAUAAGCCAAUUAUAAUGAAAUAAGAACAAUUUUUCUAUCCCAUCAUCAGCUAAAGGCUCUCGUCACUCCAUUGUUAUAAAAUUUAUCAUCAUAGUCGUUGUUAAGAAUAUAACUAAAUUAAAAAAGGAAAACAUAUAUAAAAAAAUUAAGUGAGAGUUGCAAAAUUGUGUUGUUGUCCAACAAGGUCGCUUUUCCACAGUUGCUGUUACCUAACUCGGAGGGAUUGGGACGUGCCAAAUAUAGGUGACCCACAUUUUAUUUCAAUUUAAUUUGAGAUUCUAGGUGAUGCUAAUGUAGCAUUAUAAUUAAAUUAAGUAAAUGAUUUUGAUGCUGUACUUUAAUUAUUUGUUGGGUUGAAAAUAUUUAAAAAAUAGUCCCACAUGAAAAAAAAAUAAUAAUAAUAAUAAAGUAGGUAUAAAGAAUUGAUAUGCAUAUUGUUAGGUCCAAACUAAUUAUAGUACUCCCUAUCUGUAAAAUAGAACACCUAAGGCCUUUUGGAUUCCAGAUUAAAAUAUCCAACAUUAUUCACCGUAAAUUUUCUUUUAUGUAGUUAAAAAUUAAAAGUUUAUUCUUUUUUCCUUUUAAGUAAAUUUUAAUAUUCAUAAGUCGGUAGUACAACACAUUUCACCAGAGAGAUAAUUUAUCUUAUGACAGAAAAAUAGUUUGAAGGUCGAAUAUAAAAAUUUAUUCUGAACAUUUAAUAACACUCAGCGUCUACCAAAUGCUAUAAUUUUUUAAAAAAAAUUAAAAAAACAUAUUUAUCGAGUAAGAUUCUCGAGCAUUGAGACAGAGACUAAAUCAUUAGUGUGCAGGAAUUUUAUGUAGUACUUCUAAGAGCCGGAAAUUAGGCAACAAUUAUUGCACCCAAGAACCCAAUAAACCACGAGUCCAAUUCUUAGGUCAUGGGAUCUUCUUUCGGGUCAAGUCAAUUAAUUACAUCACUUUUGGUCAAAUUAAUCGACAAAGUCAUGGGUCUGAUCCUUCCCAUGACCUGGUCGCGUCAAUUUGUAGUCUAGUAGUUAAUUAAUUUAAUCAGACCUUACGUGUAACUUAGGCACAACUUAUUAAGUAUCUUGAAUAUUAUAAUUCAAUGCUUAAAGGAUGUAGCCAAAAACGAUCAAUUUUUAUUUAGUUUUAUACCUUUUCAUUGCAAUAGGGUGGAAUUGGUAGCUUUUAAACUAUUGCAACGUGAGAGGGUCGGAAAGAUGAAAGAUGUGUUAACAAGUCAUUUAUUUCCUAUUAAAAAAAGAAGAAGAAGAAGAAGAAGAAGAAGAAGAAGAAGAAGUUGGCCAAGAAAAACAUAUUUGUUUGAUGCCAGGAAACAAAUGGAUAUAAAACGAAUAGUUAGGAUAGUUAUUUCAUAUCCAGAAUGAAUUGGAAAUAAAAUUUAUACUUCCAUAGCAAUUUAAAGUAUGAAAUUGAAAGUGUGCAAAUUAAGAACAAGCAGGUCUCGUACAAUGUUUUCUUUUACUUCUUCUUCUAUCUAUCUAUCUAUCUAUUUAUCUAUAUUAAACACAUGAUUUUGGGUCAUACAGUAUUGGGUUUAGAUUCAAUUCGGAGAUAAAAGAUAGGUGUUGGAUCAUCAGUGCUAAUCACAAUUCUAAAUGCUUGAAUUGUUAAAAAAAAGGGCAAUUAAUUUACUUAGAGUGAACAGACACACACUAUUCAUAAAUUUCGAUUGUAAUUAGAUAAACCCGAUCUUCAUCAUGAGCCAGAAUAAUGACCUCUUUAAAGAUAUCAUGUUAUUCGUUUCAUUCAUUACGUGUUUGAACUUAGCUAUAUAUAUAUAUGAAGCAAAUAAGCCUUAAAAAAAAAUAUAUGAGUCCACAAGCGCGCGCGCACACACACAAAAAAAAAAAUUUUGCAAAAAAAAACACUGGAAAUCUUGUGUUGACGAGAAAGAAGAACCCUUUUAUCUACUAGCUAGUAUGGUUUUAGUCGUGAUGCACUCCAUAGCCUAUUGCUAAAAGAAGUAAUGAGAUCUAAAACAUAUAAUACAGAAUUAGGCGCUCCUAUUGUGGACUAUCUCAAGGGUUUUAUUUUUCUAUUACCCACUACGCAAUUGUUCUUCUCUUUAGCUUUUUACGUUUUACCCCUUCAACUUUGAACAAAUCAUCAGACCCACAAUGCGCGAGUUUGCCACCUCAUUUCCAUUUAGGUUAAAACGUAUAAAAUUUACUUGAACUACGAACCAUCUUGAUUUGACUAUCAAAUCUUUCAAGCCUUUAAAUUUUUGACCUAACAUUUUAAUUUAUUUGAUUUGAAUCAAUAAACGGUACUUUAAUUACAAAAAUAAAAUGCAUCAUUUAUCUUUACAGAUUUAGUUAGUAUAUUUCGUGCAAUUUUUAUCGCUAUAUUUAUUAAAGUAUGUAAUUAGUAUAAAAUUCAAAAUCAAAAUAUCAUUGAUUAAUUCAAAUCAAAUAAAUAAAACAAAUUAAACAGUAAAACUAAAAUUUAAAAAAUUAAAUAGUUAAAUUAAAAUAUUUUAUAAUUCGAAUAAAUUAGUUACAUUUUUACUUUUCAUUUAUAUCCAUGUACAUACUAUGAAGCACGAGCUUUUCUAAAGAGAGAGUACGAUGAUUUUACUUACCCUGAAAAGUUCUGAAUCUUUUUAGUUGGCUCGAAAAUGCAGGUCAUAAAUGUAAAAGUGAAGGAACAGAAAGGUACAUGUGAUGUGCAUUAAGCAACUCUUAAUUACCAGGAAAAAAAAAAGAAAAGAAAAAGAAAUCACCAUUGAAAGAACAAGAUGAAUUUCUUAGCUUCUGCGCACCGCACCAUUUAUACUUCUAUAUUUAUAUAUUAUUUUUUAUAAAAUUUGCCACAUGACACAGUUCAUUCUUCACCCUCUCCCCUUCCCACUCUUUGAUAUUUCGCCUUUCCACCUUCCAUCUCUGCCCAAUUCUUCGCCUUUCCAUCCACCCGCUUUUCAAUUAAUACAUUCAUAUGAUCUAUUGUCAUCUAAAAAUUUAUUUUUACAAAAAAAAGUAAAAUAAGAUUUCUUUAUUGUCUUUUUUCUCAUAUUAUUUGUAUUUAUUGAUGUCUAAUGAUAAAUCAAAAAUUUUUUAAAUUUUUACUUUAUCAAUUUUCUAUUUUUAUACAUAAUGCGCGAGUAAUUUCACUAGUAUUAUUUAUUUAUCCUACGUAAUAGACCUUGCCUGCAUUAUACACUUUGAAACACUCCAAUAUGUCUUAUAAUAAGUUUGAAAGAAAUGGUCCAAUAAAAAUACAAAUGCAGGAAUAUUCGUGAAAAGAUACAAUCUACACAUUUUUAUCUAUUCCUCAAUUAUUGUCCAUUUAAAUCCACAAUGAACAAUCUCACAUCUACACUCAGUAGAAGGUGUUAUAUAAUUUAAAUAAAAGAAAGCGUAGAUUGAAAAAAGUGAUAAAAUAAAUGAAUCAACACUCAGAAUGCAUAUAGAUAAAACAUUGUACAAGGAAUAGUAUCUCCUCAAGCUAUGAGUACAUGAUCCCAUCCUAUGAUAUCUUGGGUGAAGGAGGGAACCAUCAUUGCCACAGAAACAGGUUAUUCCCCGCCCAGGGCCACAUUGAUUUCAAUGCAACAAGGGUCACAUGGCACACCCCAACAUUACAUCUGAUACCUAAUCAUUCCCACUUUUGCCAUAUCAAUCACCUUCUUAUUGUUUCAAAUAAUUAUUAGAUCACUCAUCUUGCUCAAUUUCCCAAAAAUUAGCCAUGCAUGGCUAAUCAUCAUCCCAAUAUCACACAGAAAUGAAGCUGUGAUCUAUGGCUAGAGAGAAAGAAAUACCUCUGCGACAAAUUUACAUUAGUUCUCUUUCAUACUAAUAAUAUUUAAGGUUUGCAUGCACAAAUUACAUCACUCUCAAUCCAAUUAAAAUCUUUUAUCUCAACAUGUCAUGAAGCAUGCGGUUAGAUAUAUGAACAUGUAAGCAUAGCAUCACAAACUAAGUAGUUGACUUGAUUAAUGAGUAAGGUUGGGGACACAUGUAAGCAUUCCCAUGGUCUCGGUUUGCACCUCACAUACUUUAUUGUGAGAAAGGGUGCUCAUACCAUUAGUGCAAAUGAUAUUUUAAGAUAAGAAAGAGUACUAUAUUUCAAUUGUGUAAUUAUUUAAUGUACUGUAGCGCAUGAUGGGUUGUUUUGGAAGAUAUGGUGGUUGCUGCAGCUGGGGUUGUUUAUUGCGUUGGAGUGCAUUGUGGGGAAACUUCCAUGUGGAGCAGUUAGAACUUAAAAAGGUUCUUUCAAAAAAAAAAAAACAAAAAACAAAGAAGAAGAGAUUUUCCUCAAUGGAUCUUCUAUAAUAUAAAAUCAUAUCUCAUAAUAAUUAAAGUGGGAGAUGAGAGGUGCACCCGUGUAUGUAUGUUCUUAAAUUUUAAAUAAUUUUCGGCGGCUUGCCAUUUCCCAAAUCUCGCCACCAAUCUCUCCAACACCCAUCCUAGCUAAUUGUUUACAAAAAAUUACAAAAAAUGAUGAAAAAAAAGAACACAAAAAUGUUUAGCCAAGUAGAAGAAUCAUAGAAAGGAAAUUUCUAAUAUUCAUAUUAGCAUUGAUUGCACCACCCCUAGCUAUCUCUCUCUCUCUCUCUCCCUCCUCUCUCCCUCCUCUCUCCACAUGAAGUGUAACCAUGUUUAUUCAGAGCAAUGGACUCGGAGGAGGAUACAUACGCUUACUAAAAACCAAGAGAAUUAGCGUACGAAAACUAAAGCAGACAAACGAAGCGGAUAGCGUGCUACUUAUCUCUCUCAAAAAAUAAAUAAAUAAAUAAAUAAAGCGGACACAUGAAAACUUGUAUAUAUAUGUGAUAAAUUACCUCUAAAGCAUAUCUUUAAUCUAUACUAUAUAAUGAUCACGAACGAUAUAAUUAAGCAAACGAGGAAACUCUUAUGUACAUGCGAAGUGUGAGUAACUAAGAAGGAAUUAACUACCAUUAAUAAUUACUCAUAGAUAGACCACAUAUUUAAUUAACUAAGCAAACAUUAACAGAAUCCAUUCCCUACUCUCUCCCUCUCUCUCUCUUCUUUCUCCUCUAUAUCAAUCCACAGAGCAAAUCCAUGGCUCCACCAUACCUUCGCCUCUCGCCGCCACUGCCACCGCCGAGGCCACGCUCUCUGCCGACACCUUCUCCACCACAAACUCCGCCGCCGCCGCCGCCGCCGCCGCUGCCGCUGUAGUAUAGUUCAUCUUGCAACUGCCCACCGGCCCAUUUGCGGCCCAACCCGUAGGCCCAUUAAGCGCUGGGGGGAGGCCCAUCACCCCGGGCCCGUACUCGGUAGGUGGUGGGGGGAGCAGUGCUGGGGAUUGGAGGAGGGAUUGGAAUGUGAGAAUAGGGUUUUGGAGGUGGAGAGGCACCACUAAUGGAGUUGAAGCAGCGGCAGUAGUAGCAGUGGCGAUAGAAGAAGCUGAGGAAGAAGAAGAAGAGAAGGGGCGGAGGAGGUAAUUGUUGGAAGGGUUUAGGGAGGAGUAGGAGGAGGAGGAGGAGGAGGGUGCAAAUAUACUUAUUUUGAACGGGAAAUAAUUAAUUCUUUUUAUGAAUUAUAUAGGUGUUCGGAUACAGUGGCUAACCGAAAUCCCAAAUAGUGAUUGUUUUCUUUGGGUGCUAAUAUGCUAAACCGUUCAAUAACGUUUUAAAUGUUAACUCAUAAUAAUAAGUAUAUAGUACGUCUUUUAUAUAUAAAACUAGAAAUUUUUUGUAUACAUGAUACAUAAAUUUAUAGUGUUAACAGUGUGUAGUGCUCAAAACUUUUGAAGUCGUAGUGUAACAAGACUUUUAAUUUAGUUGUUGUGCAGAUUAUUACAUCCACAUUGAAUUAAAUCCAAGAGAUUUUAUUGUUUUCCGAGAUACAUUUAUCCUACCACGUACCACGCGGUCCACCUACCUUAUUAAAUAAAAGAGAAAGAGAUGAAACAGGACGAGCAGUGGCAGAGGAAACGUUGGUUGGGUAACCUCCUAGAAAGUUUCGCCUUUGCGCCCGAGUAUGUGUGUUGUUGUUGUUGUUGUUGUUGUGGGAUGUGGUGUUGCGUUGGGUUGGGGUUGGGGAAAUUAAUGUGGGGAGAGGGAGUAAUACAUGAGGGGGAGAGAGAGAGGUAGAGGAAGAGAGAGAGAGAGAGAGAGAGAGAGAUCUGUAUGUGUGUUUGUGUUCUUCGUGCAUUCUACCUGAGCCGGAGGCGGAAACUGAGGGAGCUGAUAGAGGAGGGGGUUGCGCUUGAGGGGAGAGGCCCCGGGCGGCGGCGUCGCUCGCGGCGCCGCCGCCGCCGCCGCCCCCGCGGCUCUCCCCCCUCUUUCGCCCGCGCGCGGAGCGCCGCGCGCGGCUGCUGCCACGACUGUUGCCUACGGAGGUUGAAGGCCCGGUACCACGUCCUUAAAUGCCCUUAUGGGAGCGGAGGAAAGGGGUGGUGAAGCAGAAGAAGGAGGAGGAGGAGGGAGGUGGAUAAGAAUGGGGGAGCCGGGGAGAAGCUUGGUCAANNNNNNNNNNNNNNNNNNNNNNNNNUGCGCAUAGGUGUGCCUUAACUAGGGCUAGGUUGCGGAAGGCAGCAUACCUUGUCUACUCAGCGUCUAGUGCUUCUGCCACGAUCGUCAGAAGGCUACAGAUGCAAGGAAGAACACUUUUAAUAACACCUGAAUGCUUUCAAACUCUCUCUUCUUAUAAACUUAGGAUAAGUGCAGUUAAUUACUAUAGAGUAGUGGAAUUACUUCGGCGUCGAUUCGAUAUAUAUAUAUCGAGACGAAUUAAUUCCUCAUGGUUGUUUCUCGGCAUGCUUUGCCGAAGAAUUAACUCGGCAUAGAAUCCGGUCGGUAUAAACAACAUUGAUUAAUAUAAGUUUAUCAAUGUUAGGGUUAAACUAUUAAAAGUUAAUCAAUAUUAAGAUAUGAUAGACAACGUUGAUUAACCUAAUGUAGGUUGAUUCCUAAUGUAGGUUAAUCAACCUUGUAUCCUAUAAAAUAAUAGAGAGGGAAAUUAAUCUAGUAUAGAUAAUAUUGAUUUAUAAGAGAGGCCGGGCACGUGCGCGGCUAAUCGGAGGAUCAACUUCAACCGUACAGUAGAUCAAGAGACCUUAACUGGUCCAAGGUAAUGUAAUCUAAACUUCGGAUUUGUUUAGAUUAGAUUUUAUUUUACAUUGUAACAUGAGAAUGAUCCGCCGGCACUGGAUUGAUUUGUUUUGUUUUGUUUCAUAUGUGAUAUGGAUUUCGUUUUCGUUUUUCCGCUGCGAUUUUUUAAGUGCCGGAUAUAUUUUCUAACAUCUUUUCAGCUGCCGUAAAUUAUGUAUAUCUUUCUAUUAUUCAUAUUUCUCUUCUAAUUAAGUAGCAUUAUGUACGUAUAUUUGUAAGAUAUUACAAAAUUUAUUUAUAAGCACAAUAUUAUUCUGUUAGAACAUGUACACAGCAUGUAGUGAUGCAUUUGAUGCAGCUAAGAAUUUUCCAAGCGACAGAGCUUGUGUGUGAACUAGUAGUGGAGAUAAAAGAUUAAUGAAUCGAAUAAAGAAAAAGUAAAAGAGAAACAAAAAAAAGAAAAAAGAGGAGGACAAGGGGACAAAAGUGUGAAAAAGGAGAGGGAUUGGUCGCGAGGAAAACCAAAAAAGUAAAUCUUUUUCGAGCACACAAUCGAGAGGACAUAGAAGGGUUAAUGAGAAAGUUACCGACCCACGUUAAAUACUUUAUAAAGUUUAAAAUAGUUACCAAGCUAGGAAGUGUUAUAAUUAGAGCACAUUAAAAAAAAAAUAUAUAUAUAUAUAUAUAUAUAAAUUUUGGAUGUGUAAUUUUCCAUUUUAACAUGCAUACACGUAGUGGUAGAACCGUUUACACCGUUUAUCGAACCUAAAAAUUUUGGAUGUAUACCAAAAUUAAGAAGUUAAGAUAUACAAGCUGGAAAAAGUUUUAGUUUGAGCAUCAAUAAGAAAACUCGAGUCAAAACAUUAGAAUUCUAAUAAUACAAUGUCUCUAAAGUUUAGAGGAGUUUUGAUUUUGAGUCUCAACAUAAUUAAGGAACUUGAUUUAAUUACAAUAGGGUGUACAUAAUGAAUAAGCUUUCGAUUCUUAAAUAAAAAAUUAAAAAAAUUUGAAAUUAGACAGACCUGAUAUAUGGUUAACCAAGUGUGUUGACAAAAAAUUACAGUACAAAUGAUGAUCAAGAUUUGAAUUAAUUUUCUCUAGUUAUGUAUAAUUACAAUGUUCUAAGAAAUAUUUUGCAAUUUUUUAAACAAGAUUUAUUUAAUUAAGAUUACAAUGACUUGUUUAGUUAUAUUUAACUUGGCCUUUUUAAACUAUUACAAUGACUCUCUUUGUCUAGAUUGUAGAACCCAUACUUCAUUUCAGGUUUAAAGCAUUUUCUCUAUGCUCACUCACUAUCCGAUGCAAUUUUAUUUGUUCAAUUUCAUAAAAUUUUUAUUAGAUUUAAAUAAAAAAUGAUAUGAGUAGCAAAAAAAUGUGAGCCAUAAAAAAAUUGUUAGCAUAGAUGUAUGAAUAAAAUCACUCAAACUUUCCACAACUUCAGGUUAAUUUGGAAGGUUUAAUUGGUUGACCUAAGCACAGUUGAGUUUUUUUUAAAAUUUUUUUUUUUCUGUUUUUUGAACAAAAUGGUAGAUCCAUAACUCAAAAGACUUAUUAUUGAAGGUUUUUCUUUUUUCUUUUUUUUCCGCUCCUCACAGAGCCUGAAGCUCGAACACUCUACUAACAAACGCGCAAACGAAAAUCAAAUUUCCGACCUCGUGGAUCGGUACUCUCGUGGCUAGUGGUUGGACCUAAAGAACAUUGCGUGCAUAUUUUUAAUUCAUUCGCAUGCAGUUAAAUGCAAUUCAAUUAAUGGAGAAAAGGACACAUUUGAAAGGUGGUGGUCUCAGAUGCUGCAUCUAUAAAUAUAUCAUAGCUAUGAGGUUGUAUAUAAGAUAAUUUGUACCAAAAAAAAAAAAGAAGAAGCUACGUAUGGAUAUUAAACCAUCAUGACUAAUUAAACACCUAGGAGCUAAUUAAAACGUGAUUAUAAGGGCAAUAAAUUAAAACCCAAAAGAUUCCAAUUUGAAUUAUUGGAUCAUGAAUUGCCACAUAUAUAUAUAUUCUGGAUAUGAGUUUUUUUUUUUUUUUUAAAAAGUUGAUCAAUCAAUAGGCAAUAGCUAGUACAAUUGAUAGAAAUUUUUUAUGAGGUAGAAUCAUUACAUUAAUAAGGUGGAAACGUAUGGCCAUUCGAAAAUUGUUUCCUCAACUUUUAUUUUUGGAAUAAAGAUCUUAUUAACUUUUUAUUUUUUAAAAUGAAAUAAUUUUGCUAAAUAAAUUAGAAAUUUUACCAAAUUGAUUAGGGAUUUUAUCAAAUUUAAUAAUUUUAGCCACCUUUUAGUAAAUACAACAAGACAGUUAAUGGUUGAUAACGAUUAGAGUUAUUAAAAUUGAAAGAAAAAAUUAAGCUAAUGAAAUAUUAAAAUUUAAAUAAAAAAAAUUAAAAGUUAAGGGGGGCUCUCAAUCAAGCCACUAAUAGUAGCCCGAAAAAGAGACGCUGGAGGUUCAAAUCUCCACCUGUUCUUAGACAAGGCAGGUUGGUGAUUUAUAUUAAAAAUAAAAAAAUACUGAGAAUUUUGUGAAAUCUGAAAACUACGUACAAGCUAGAUAUUAAAAUAAAUAAAAAAAGAUGAGAUGCAUUAGUAAUUACUGAUUAAAUCCAUCCUACUCAAAAGAUUAUUAUUAUUAUACACAUUAAUUAAUAUUCAUCACUCAAAUUCAAAAAAAAAAAUAGCGUCACAUGACUUUGUCGUCGCCUUCUUCUUUUCGUGCAAAUAUUUUCUUCUAAAAAAAAUUAUGACCAAAUUGGCCCUCCGUUUUUAGUAUUUAUUAACUUAUGAAUUGGGAAACCGGAGGUUCCUGAGCCGUCACGUGGCGUGCGGGCGCGAGGGGGCAGCCGUGAGCAGGCGCGAGUGGGGCGGGCGAGCUGCCGCGGGCGCGCACGAGGGCGUGGGCGCGACCCCGCAUGAGGGGAGCUGGCGGGGCUCACGGGUGUCCCUACACGUGGUCCACGGGGCGGGCGGCUCAUGGUGGACCGGCUGAUGGAGGGGGUAGUGGACCCUGCCUGAGGGAGAGGGAGCCACUCCUAUCUCUCUCACUUUUUUGAAUUUUAAAAAAAACUUAAUUAUAGUAUUUUUUAUAAAAGUAAAUUAUUUAUAUCUAAAUAAUUAUAAAAUUAAAAUUAAUAUUUAAUACAUACAAUCUAAAAUAUUUAAAAAUUAAGCAUAAAUAAUUAUAUAUUAUAAAGUUUUAUUAUAAUUAAAACACAAACUUAUGAAUUUACAAUUUGACCCCGACCGGACUGAUUUUAUCCAAUUCAAUUAAUUUUUUUAUUAUAAAAAUUUAAAAUAUAUAAUUAUAUAUGUUAAAGUUUUCGCGUUAUUUUUCCUUUAAGCAGUUUAGACUUUAUAAAGUAAAAAAAAAUACCCCGUGCAUUGCCCGGGGCUUCCUUAACUAGUCUCUAUAAGUUUGCGAGUACAUGUAUUUGGUGAAGGCUCAACUAAACAAGCAUUAAUGAUGAUAUUACAUCAUCAUUAUCUUAAGAGUGAUAGCGACUCAAUAACCUACGCUCGUUGUAGUGCUCCAACUUCGAUCUUCUACGUCUUAUCAUUGUGCUUUUCAUGUUUGAUGGUUUCUUAAGCAACCAUUAAAGGAUGGGUCAGGCGAGAACAUCAUUUAAUACAAUUUAUAUCACUUGAGAGCGAAACCGCAUCAUUUGAAUGCCAUCGUAUGAUUAUUCCAAAGCCAUAAGUUUAACAAGACCAUAUUAUAAGAAUAAAAGCAAAUUAAUCAAAUAUAGUAAUUGGGCCACAGAUAUAUAACGCCAUAUGAGAGAUAAAUGGGCCGGGCCCUGUUAGGUCGAUCUCGGCCCAACAUGUGAACAAGCAAAUUGUUUGUUAGGUUAAAAAAAUGACCAAAAAAUUAAUAAACGCCGGUGUAUGGACCCGGUGCAUGGAAUUAUUUCUUUUGUCAUUAGCUCACGUGCAAAACCAACAAGUCAACACGUGUCUAUGCAUCACAUUGCUAUAUAUAUAUAUAUAUAUAUAUAUAUAUAUAUAUNGUAUGUUAUAGAUAUUAUAUAUAUAUAAUAUAAUAACCACUGCUGUUUCUGCAAUCCAAAAUAAAAUAUUUUAUUCAAAAAAUAUUUAUUUUUCUAGAAUUUUUCUUUUUUAAAAAAUACUAUUAAAAAAUACAAUAUAAUUUUUAACAAUUUUUGUUUGCUGUAAACAUUGCAUUACUCCCGCUUUAUACCCGUCGCCCCUUUUGGCACCCACACGCGUCACUCGCCCCGCGCACGUGCCAGUCUCUUUGUUUCCGUGCUAUAAACCGCCGCUUAUUCAGCUCGCUUGGCACCCGCACGUGUCACUGGCCCAUGCACGUCUCAGGCUCCUUUGUUUGCUGUGCUACAUAUAAAGCUCCAAAUGUCCCUCACAUUCGUAGUAAUUAAACCACAGGUGCAUGCUUUUUCAUCAAGAAAAAAGUGCUUAAGCUUAAGCUUUUUUGAGGUUGAGAUAAGAAACGAGGGCUCAACAUGUUAAGGAGAAAAGGAGCAGUUCUCAUGAACUGGUUCAAGGAUGGUGUGCUGAACAAAGCAAGUGGUUUGCUAAGGGAGAAGGAGCAGAUGGAUAAGAACUUCCCUGUGUUGAAGGGCCACCCGAAGGCGCGAAAGCACGCCAAGGAGGCCGUCGAGAGCUACGCGAAGCUCGGUGCGAGAGCGGCGGAGGAGAAGGUGAUGAAGGGAGCGGAGGAGACUAAGGCGUCGAAGGAGUUCAAGAUCUAUAGGUGGAACCCUGAGAAGCCACAUAACAAGCCAUUUCUCCAAUCUUACUAUGUUGACUUAACCACUUGUGGCCCCAUGGUACUCACAAAAAAAAAAAAAAAAAAAAAAACUUUUCCCUAUUUUUAUUUGAAAAUGAGAUUGGGAUCGAGCUGAAAAAUCAUGUGCGAGAAUUAUUUAAUUUCUAAUUAAAUUGAAGAUAAAUUAAGGAUUUGGUGUGAUUUUGACUCAAACUUUACUGUAGUGAUGUCAUGUUUAGUAAUACGAACCAUUCAUUUUAUCAUUAAAAGUUUAAACUUAAAUAAUUAGAGAAUAAUGUUUUUAAUAUUACUGUCAAACUCAUGAUAUCCUGCUAUAUUGAUACUAUGCAAAGCUAUUAAUUUUUUCCUUUACAAAACUUUUAAGUUGGUAGUGAUUAAUAUUUUAAUAUUUUCUACAUAACAAAGUGCAACUAUAUAUUUAGUUUCUAAAAUUUAAUCCCAAAUUCACUGCAUAGAAUUUAUUCUCAACAAGUAAAUUCAUCGAGUCUGAUUAUUGUUCUAUAUAUCAAAAUCGACUCUGACAAUACCAUUUUCUUUUUAAUUGCUGAAAAGUAAUGGUCGUUCCUGAAACAAGGGGAUUGCAUAGAAUUUAUUCAUAACAGCAAGUCUGAUUAUUGUUCUAUAUAUCCCAAAAGCUUACGAUAAGGUUAGAUGGUCGUUCCUGAAAAGUAUACUACGUUGGCUGGGUUUCAGCGAUAAAUGGUGGUCCUGGAUAGAACAAUGUAUCUGUAAUGCUAAACUUGCCAUCCUUUUAAACGACGCGCCGACAACGUGGCUGAAAACUAGAAAGGGAUUGAGACAAGGGGACCUGCUCUCCCCAUAUGUAUUCAUCUUGGUGGCUGAUUGUCUGACCAGAAUUACAGAAACAGCCAGGGGUAACAGUUUGCUCGAAGGGAUAGGGCCAACUGUCGACUGUCAGACUGUGAUCUUGCAAUACGCGGAUGACACAUUAUUCUUUUCGGAGCCAAAGAAGUCGAAUAUGCGAAACUUGCUGUUCAUCUGGAAGUUAUUCGAAUGGGCCUCGGGUCUCAAGAUAAAUACAAACAAAACGGAACUCCAUUAUGUCGGCCACGACUCGAGUAAAGAAACUAGACUUGCGGAGAUUCUGGGGUGCAAAGUAGGCAACCUACCGUUCCGCUAUCUGGGGUUGCCGCUUCACAUCAAGUCUCUUCGACGGGUAGACUGGGCCCCUCUAAUAACUCGUAUAGAGGAGCGUAUAGAAGGUUGGAAAGCAAAGUUACUAUCUUAUGGGGGAAGAAUCACCCUGGUAAACUCGGUGCUCACGAACAUACCCCUAUUCUACUUAGCUAUCUUCAAAGCGCCACAAUGGGUACUAAAACGAAUCGAAGCCCUUAGGAGAUCCUUCUUUUGGAAAGGGUGCGCCAAAAUCUCUGGAGGUGCAUGCCUAAUUGCCUGGAAGUCGAUAUGCAAAAGCAAAAUUGAAGGGGGGUUGGGGAUUAAAGACAUGGAAGCAAUGAAUACGGCGCUGCUAACCAAAUGGUGGUGGCGUUUUUUUUAAUGAGCCGCAGCUACUUUGGGGGAAACUAAUCAUGGCGUUAUAUUACACGAGAAGAAGGCCAUUGAGUGAAGGAAGAUCCUUCAGGCCUUACUCUCAGUGGUGGAGAAGUGUGAUGAGUUGUCGAGAGGUCUUCAAAUGUGGUACUUCAUUUAAACUCGGAGACGGGCAAAAUAUCAAGUUGUGGUCAGAUAUUUGGAUCGGCGAAAUCCCUCUGAGGACCCUAUUUUCCGGAAUUUACUCCAGAUUAGUGAACAACAUGGCCACGGUUGCACAAUGCUGGAAUGAAAGAGGUUGGAGAUGGCGAUUUAUAACUAGAGGCCUAGCAACAUAUACUGACAUCGAUACUCGACAACAAGUCAGGGCGCUCAAAAACCUUCUUUCGACAUACGGCCCAACUGACACACCGGAUAUGCUAAGGUGGAGAUGGACAUCCAACCAAAUAUUUUCAGUUAAGUCCCUGUAUGGCUUCAUCACUGACGCAGGUCUGAGAGACCCGACUGGGGACCACCUGUGGAACUUAAAAAUCCCGACCAAAAUCAAAAUUUUCGUCUGGAUCUUAAUCCGUAAGCGGCUACUGACUGCGGAUAGAUUGAUUCGUCGUGGGUGUCAGGUGGAUCCGCUUUGUAUGUUUUGCGCAGUGCUUCCGGAAAGUUGUGAUCACCUGUUCAGGGAGUGCGUUCUGGUCAAAUAUCUCUUUAUCAGCGCGUGGGGCCCGCCUUACACUGAACCAGUUAUUGGGGAUGUCAGAAGCGUGUGGUUACAGACGGCUAACUCCCCCAAUGCCGAGGUGAGAAGACGGAGUCUCACACGGUUGGUGGCAAUCUGGUGGGUAGUUUGGACGGAGAGAAACAAAUACGUCUUCCACGAGACGAGUCCAGACGCUAUCCGGGCCCUACAGCGAGUUGAAGCGUUGAUCAAAGCCUGGACAAACGUUUCCUAACCGGUGAAUGUUCUUCCUGCAUCGCGUUGAACGUGUACUUCUUGGGUACCUACCUACCUAACUACUAUCCCAGUUUUACUACGUUGUUUUGGUAAGUACACUGGGGUUAUUUUUGUUUUUCUUUGGCUUUUUUUGCUCCGUCUUUUGUUUUGGUUUUCCUUUAGGAGGCCCUGGCUGCCUUCACUUUGUAAGCCAAGUUCAUUUUGCCUAAUAAAUGAAGCAGGUAGCUUGCUACCUUUCUCUCAAAAAAAAAAUUGCUAGCUAGGCUAAUGAAAGGACGUAAUUAUUAGGACACAUUUUUAUAUAAAUUGCUAAAUUUGAAAAAGAAAAAAAAAAGUUUGAAAUUAUAUAAAAAAAAAUAACGUAAUUGUAAAUGUGAACUAUAUGCAGGUCCUGGAUGUGCUUCAGAAGAUCAAAGCAGAGCAGGACUCAACGCUGAGCUACAGGAGAUCAUGCAGAGAAGGGAUCUGCGGCUCGUGCUCGAUGAACAUCGACGGCGUCAACACGGUCGCAUGUCUCAAACCCGUCGACACCGCCGCUUCGAGGGCUACCAUGAUCACCCUUCUCCCUCACAUGUUCGUCGUCAAAGACCUCGUCGUCGAUCUCACCAACUUCUACCAGCAAUACAAGUAAGAGUCCCACAUUGCAAGAAGAAAUGCAUGAACCUUAAUACUAAACUACGUUAGCUAUGUGAGCUAUUAUCUGAUCUUAUGACAUGUUUGAUUUAGUAUGUCUCCGCCGCAAAAUGUAAACUAUAUAUAAUUGGAUUGAAUGUUGUGUUGAUGGUCGAUUGAGCCAUGGCUAAAGGCGAGGAAGCCGCCUCCGAACGGGCGAGAGUACAUUCAGCUACCGAGCGAGAGGAAGAAGCUCGACGGGCUGUACGAAUGCAUUCUAUGCGCGUGCUGCAGCACCGCCUGUCCGGCCUACUGGUGGAACUCCGAGGAGUUCCCGGGCCCGGCCGCGCUGCUCCAAGCCUACCGGUGGGUGUCUGAUAGGUAAGUUUAAGUGUCUAUUUGGUCCUACUUUUCUGAUACAGUAAUGUAAGAUCAGAAAUCAGGGUAUAUGUCUCGUGAAAUGUGUGUUUUGUUUUUCGCGAAGCCGUGACGAUUUUACGGAGGAGAGGAUACAGGCGAUGACGGAGGAUGAGAAGCGGCUGUACAGGUGCAGGACUAUAAGGAGUUGCACGGCGACUUGCCCGAAAAGUUUGGACCCGGCUAGGGCUAUUUCUGCAAUGAGGACUGCUCACCAGCUUCACUAGGCUCAAACUCGGUAUGAGGGGUUGCAGAGGAAUUUGAGUUUUUGGAUGACAUGAUUGUAAGAUUUUAUGUAACUGAAAAAGAGUUGGCAGGCUAGGAGAGCAGUAUGUUGUGUAAUUUUUGUCUUUCUAAAAAAAUUUCAAUUGAUAAAAUGAAUGAUGUGUGGAUUAGUGUCUUUUUUUUUUUUUUUUUUUAGAGAGAAAGGCUAUCUUUUUCGUUUAUUCAGUACAACAAAAACGGUAUAUAGCGACACUUUUAAAUGUAGGUACAUGUCAAAAAAAGUGCUGCUAGCUAAAAUUACCGACACUUUUAAAAAAUAUUGCUAUAUGUGGGGUCGUUAGGUAUAUAGUGACAGUUAAAGAGUGUCGCUAUAACCUAAAAGAGUGUUGCUAAUUUACCAACACUUAUUUAAGCAUUUAGCAACCGCCGAAAUUCUAUCUCGUUGGCUACAGUGGAGGAGGAGGACGGCAGGAAAGGCUCUUCGUCUAGAAUUUCAGUGGAUUGAGUGAAGAGAGAAGAAAAGAUGGUAAUUAAUUUUUCUUUUUUUUUCUUUUCUGUUUAUAAUCGGGCCAAAUGGACUGGGUGUGGUGGGUUGAGUAGAGUAAUCUUUUAUUUUUGAUUGGAUUGGGCUUUAUAUUUAGACAUUGGUAGAUGUUUUUUUAAGUUUUAGUAUAAAUGGAACACUUACUCAAAAGUGUCCCAAACAUGUGUCCCUAUAAUCUAAUUCUGUUGUAGUGAUUUUUUUAUAAAAUAAAUUUAGUUAAAAAUACAGAAUAAUUAAAAUUUGAAUUUACAAUCUCGAAUAUUAAUUAUUAAGUUCUGUUGUCAUUCUUGCUAGGACAUAAUCAAUAAAGUCCAAAAUGAAUCCAACGAAGUUGGGAAAGAAUCUUGGAAACAUUUUUUUGGAUUAGAGUGAUAGGAAAGAAACUAGGAAACAUUUUUUUGGAUUAGAGUGAUAAGCCAGGGUGCGCCCAACCCUAACUCAAGGGGGGCCAAUUGACUGGGUCAGGUCUCAGACCUAACUCGCUGAUCGCCCCGUCCGGACGUGACCAACCCGUGACACCUCGGCCCACCAUCUCGCGCCAAAGUCAAUGUGCAAUAAAACCAACCAUGCGUGAGGGUAAUUCGAUUUUUAGCUUGUGCAUUUAUUUAUAUUAUUAUUAUACGGCUAGGUUCGUACAAUAGCGGAUGCAACUCAAAUGAUUAGGAUAAUUAAGUGUAGUUGGUUGAUUCAAAAUUAAAUAAAUUUAAAAUUUAGACAGUUCAUAAUUCAAAUUAGUUCUCUACAUAUUUCCAUAUCUUUACCCUUUGGUAAAUUAUUAUCUUUGUUAUAAUUAUUAUAAAUAUUUUAGUACAUAAAUUAUUCACAUUUUAUGCUAUUAAAAUUUUGAUUCUUACAUGAAUGAACAGAGAUAUAAUUUGAAAAGCAAAGCGAAAUAAACAAUAUAGAGCAAUUCAGAUCUGAAUCAAUUCUACGCAAGGUAUAUGUGGUGUCGGGACGUAGCUUGCGCACCGGUCCCUUAAUCUGUAGGCUACCCUGUUAACGUUUAAGCAAAUGGCGAUUGCGAAGUGUCGCCUAACAGUAAUUUGUCCAAACAUCAAAAUACAACAAAAGUUUGGGUCUUACAAUAUAAUCCAGGGUCCAAUAUCUUAAUGUUCCCCUAACAAUGUUCAUUACAUCUUGCCAAUUGCUAUACCAACAUCAUAUCACUGGAGUUGUUGGAUUGAAAAUAGACUCAAAAGAUAAAAAUGGAAGAUACUGAAUUUUUUUGCACUAGUUUAUAAAUGGUUUAUUCUAUAUUUCUAACUAAUGAUUUAUUCUUUUCUCUCUCUCUCUCUCUCUCUCUCUCUCUCUAUAUAUAUAUAUAUAUAUAUAUGCGUUUAAUUUAGAUUGUGGCAAAGGGCUUGAUGGUUAGUAUUGAGGUCCCAAGUUCGAAUCCUAGUUGAUUCACAUUUCUCGCUAAAUUUAUUUCUAAAUAAAAUAAACGAAGCGGUAGCGUGCUACUUAUCUCUCAAAAAAAAAAAAAAUUUAGAUUGUGACGGAUCAUUUGAAAAAGUCUAAGCAAUAAUUCCUCUAAGCGAACAAGUUGGUGACGAGUUCCAGCUCGGCUCGCGUACGUGACAAGCACCAACAUCCUACGUGACGAGGUGCACAUGGCCACCCCUUUCCUUAGCUGUUGCAAAAUUUCAAAGUACAAAAAUUCACUCUUUCAAUGAAUGAAGCAGGUAGCGUGUUACCUAUUCUCAAAAAAAAAAAAAAAAAAAAAAAAAACAAUUUUUCUUUCUUUAAAUUUAAAAAUUUAAAUUUAAAUUCGAAGUAGAAUACUUUCUCUUCCAACUUGAUUAUCAAGUAAUAUUCUCCUUGUAAAUCAAAAAAGCAAAUCCCCCGAGCGUCAUUUCUUAGCUGAUUUUAUUUUUAAAAAUAAUAUUUUACAAAAAAUUAAAAGAAUGCCUUCCUUUUUUUUGUUAAAAGAAAAAAAAAAAAAAGCCACCGAUUCCUCGCUUCGUAAGGUAGCCCGUAGCCCUCCCUUUUCACGACUUUAUUUUUAAAAAAAAAUAGUUUUUUUCUUUUUCUCUUUUUAUGCUUGUUGUAUUAUGUUUCUUGUUCUUCCAAUCCAAGCAAUCCCUAGUACUCUUUUUUGACUUUUUGUUUUUUUUUUUUUUUGUCACCCCAACCAAAUAUAUAUAAAUUANUAGAUAAAUAUUUAAUCCUGAUUAGCUAAUGAGGUGAAUUGAUAUUUAUACAUUUUUUUAAUUAACAUUGAGAUUUUUAGAGAGAUAUAUUUGUGAUGAUAAAAUGGUCAUUUCACUUAUAAAAUAGACCGUAUUUUAAUAAUAACAAAUCAAAAAAACGUAUUUAAAAAUAUUAGAACUUUUGUAAAGACAACUUAUAAAUAUUGAACAUUGAAGGAAGAUAUUUACAAAUUAUUAUAUUUAUAGGUACUUGUAUAAAAUUAAUCCUAAAUUAAAUUUAAUACUAAGUACCUCUCUCAUGCAUUAAAAUCACGAUGCCAAAUGCCAACCCCAUCAUAGGAGAGGGAAUUUGUGAACGCCCACUAAGCCCCCCACCCCAACCGUAUUUUAAAUUCCUCUUCUGAGCCUCCUUCCUUCUCCUCCAUGCAACCGCGCCAAGAAGCCUUAUUUCCCACCACACCGUAAUCGUCGUCGUCGGAGGAGGAGGAGAGAUCGAUGGAUGAGGAGGUCGUGAGGCCGUCGGGGUGCGCCAUGCUGGCGCUCUACGGCGGCGUGUUCCGGCGGUGGCACCGCCGCUCGGCGUCGACCAGCUCCAUCCCCCGGUUCGAUCCCGAUUCUCCGGCAGCAGCAGCAGUGCCGCCACUGAAGCCGCCGCAGCAGACGUCACAGCUGCCCGUGGCGGUGGCCUCGGCGGCAAUGAAGACGAAGCGUGCGGCCGCUGACGAUACAUCCCUCGUGCCAGUGGAUAGGUAGUUAUAUAACAACCGUUUUUCUCUAAAAAUUAUGUAAGCUAUUUAUGUAUCGAUAUUUUUAUACGUUAGCUGUAGUAUUAUUUUUCAUGCGCGCGACUUUAAGUUAAACAAGGAAAAUACCAUUAUUACCUUAGGAGCUAGAAAACGAAACUCUCAAAAUAUUGUGGUCGUAGAUAAUCUAUGGUUUAAUGAGAAACAAAAGUUUAUUAACACAUAAGAAUCGUUUGUAGGGCGCCCAAAGCAUUUUCUUUUAGACUCGUAAUGGUAUAACAGUCUCUUACUACCCCACCUGUUGUUUAUUAAUAAUUUUUAUUAUAUAUACUAACUGUCCUUAGAGAAGCGGGUAGCAUGUUACCUAUCUCUCGAAAAAAAAAAAAAAAAUAUUAUAUAUAUAUAUUUUUUACUAAUACUUUGUUUGGAGAUGAAAAAUCAUAUGUCAGUACGAGUGCACUCCAUUAAGUAUUUAAUGGUUAGUAUUUAAAAUUUUUAAUUCAAGACUAAUUGAUUAUUUCUUAUUGUUGGCCGAAAUAUAUUUAAAAGUAUUAAAAUUUUUAAAAAAUAAUAUAUAAAAUUUAAAUUUUAUAAAAAAAUUAUAAUUUAUUAUAUUUGUAGGGAGCAAUGUGCAAUUACCCUUUAUAUUUAAUGCCGAUAUAGGUCACUGGUGACGGCGAAACCCCCGGCUCCGAAGACCGCGGCGCGGAGACCGGCGGAGCCCAAGGCGGCGGCGGCGGCUGCGGCGGCGUACAGCGGUAUCGCCGCCGAUCUCGACCGCAUGAUCCACGACCGCCAGCAGGUGAAGGGGAGCGGGAACCUCCUCCGCGCUUCCUCGGGGAACGUCAUGCUCUUCGGCAACCUCGGCAACCUCCGCCCGGGUCCCCUGCUCGCGGCGCCCUCGCCCGCACGCAACGCGCUCGACGAAACGCCCAAGCCAACGAAGGAGCCCAAGUUCGCGGCGCCGCGCGGGGCGCGGGGCAACAUAGCGAAGGGCGCGGCGGCGAAGGAGGCGGCGGAGGAGGAGGCGGCGGCGAGGCCGGAGCUCUGCCGCGCGCUGUCGAGGAGGCUGGACCCCGAGGAGCUGAAGGAGGUGGGGAACGAGGAGUACAAGCAGGGGCGCUUCGCCGAGGCGCUGGCGCUUUACGACCGGGCGAUCGUGAUGGACCCCCUGAAGGCCGCGUACUGGAGCAACAAGGCCGCCGCGCUCACCGCCCUCGGACGCCUUCUCGAGGCGGUCGCCGAGUGCAGAGAAGCUCUUCGGAUCGAUCCCUGUUAUCACAGAGCACAUUCUCGACUCGCAACUCUUUACCUCAGGUAAUUUCUUUUUCUUUUUUCUUUUUCCUUUUUUUAAAAAAUAUAUAUAUAUAAGAUCAUCCUUCUUUUCUUCUUUCUGAAACUGGGUUAAGAUCAUUUUUGUGCCAUUUCUCAGAUUGGGAGAACCUGAUAAAGCCAUUUACCACUAUAAACAAGCGUCGAAAGAAGCUACCGCCGCCGACAUUUCACGAGCGCAAUCUCUGAAGACGCGCAUCGUUAAGUGCAGUGAAGCCCGGAAGCUGAAGGAUUGGCUCACUGUAUUGAAGAUAUCACAAUCUGCUAUUUCUGACGGUGCCAAUUCUGCUCCACAGGUAUUGCAUCAGAAAACUGAGCAGCUUGCUUGCAUUAUCAAUUAUCGUUACGGAAAGUUGGGGGGGUUGCUUAAAAUCAAUUCUGAACUGAAAGAUAUCCACUUAACAACAUUUGCUUAGCAUCUAACUUUUGAGUAGCAUACAAUGUUCCCUGUGCUUUAUGGAAAGCUACGCACGGCAUGCAUUCGACUUGAAUGUGGGCCUCAGCUUUAGCAAAUUAGCAUAGAAGAGAAUGCCAAGAUCAAUCAUCAGGACCCAGCUUAUUUUUUGAUUUUGUUGUGCUUUGAAAGGUACUCGCAUUGCAAGCGGAGGCUCUCCUAAAGCUUAAAAGGCACGACGAGGCCGACUCGGUGUUUAGCGGUGCACCCAAGUUCGAUGCGGAUGCAUCAACUAAGUUCUUUGGUCCUAUUGACUAUGCGUAUGUCCUUAUGAUUCGAGCGCAGGUGGACAUGGCAGCCGGAAGGUUUGUUUCCUAGGCUUAUACAGAGAAGCUUGAUAUAAUAAUUGUUUCCGACAGAAUAAAUGCCAAUUUAGGUGUCCAAUUUGAAUCUUCUGUUUUUGUUGCGGCAAAAAAACCAUUGAAAAAAUACCUGAUUCAGUUUAUAGCUUGUUAAUCACCACCGACUAACAAAUGGCCUUUGGAUUGAAGGUUUGAGGAGGCAAUCACAGCGGCUCAAACUGCUUCUCAGCUCGAUCCAUACAGCAGAGAAAUAAGCUCGCUAGCCCGAAGGACACGAACUGUGGCAUCGGCACGCUCCAAAGGCAACGACCUCUUCAAGGCAUCCAAGUUUGCCGAGGCAUGCAUUGCAUACGGAGAGGGCCUGGACAAAGAAUCACACAAUGCCGUUCUCCUUUGCAAUCGAGCAGCAUGUCACUCCAAGCUCGGACACUACGAAAAAGCCAUCGAGGACUGCAACGCUGCUCUUGUAGUUCGACCUUCUUACAGUAAAGCUCGCCUGAGGAGAGCUGACUGCAAUGCCAAGGUAUGCGAUGUUACUUGGUUGCUUAUUUAACCUAGCUUCUGGACCUGGGGAUUAUGUGCUUUGAGAACAAUUCAUUUGACAUGAGGAUGAUUUCUUGUUUUGCUAGUUGGAAAGGUGGGAAGCAUCUUAUAAGGAUUGUCAGUUGUUAAUCCAAGAGCUCCCGGGAAAUGAGGAGGUAACCAAGGCCCUAUCCGAGGCUGAAGCCCAGCUCAAGAAGCAGCAGAAACAAGAAGCAAAAGAUAGAUCUCAGUCCUAAUGUUCUAGUCAUUGGCCACAGCGCGUUGUUGUAUUGACUCGGUACGUAUUCCAUUUCUUUGCAUUUUCUCUUGGUUCAUUUCCAUUAGUUAUGCGCUAUUGGCAUUGAAAUCUCUAUUUCUUCAAAUUUUUCUCUACAAACAAAGCUUUAAAAUUUCAGUUACAUUCAAACCGGUAGGAUUUCGUUGGUUAAACCUACAUAUUGGGCUUCUGCUCAGUUGGUCUGUAUUUUUUAAGUUUUGGCUGAAACUUGCAAAAUCUUGAAAUUGGUUAACGGGAUAACAGUAAUGUUGCAUAAAUUGAGUAGCUAGAGGAAGUGUGCAGUGGUUAGCGACCAUUUGUGCCCUAUACAUGGUCAAACCACUUUGAUCUAAGAAGCUUAGGCUAGUGUUUAUCGAUCUUUCCAUCUAUAUAGCCACUCGGUCAUUCUCCAACCAAUGUGGGGCUAUUCAAUCUCACACAUGUUCUAUCAACUAGACAGAACAUCAAAACAGAAACUGCUGAAACGACUGGAACAUAUACUUCCAGAAUCAUUAAAUUUACACAUCCGUAGGCAGUUCCACACUACAUAAACAUUAAAUUUAUCUUUAAUGAAUGAUUGAUACUAAUGAGCAGCAAAAGUCUAGAGAACAAGAUAGUUCAAGAAAUCCUGAAAGCCUACUGAUAAUGCGCUGUUAAUUACAAUUGCUAAAGCAAAGCAGACUAUGACUGUGCUCUGUUUUUUAUUCAAUAUGAGAAAGCUUAAGAUUUUUCUCUCGUCUAAGGUGUUCAUUUACCGUUUUGAAUGGUCGGCUGUCAUACUUUUUCUUACUUUGUCUAGUGUUUCGCAUCGGUGACAGCUACCGAAGUCUUUUGUGUUCACCACUGCAUCAUUCUUUAUUUUCUUUUUCAUACAUUUUAACUUUACAUAUUCUAUUUGAAACAUUGUUUUGACUGAUAUGAUCUGUAAGCUUUCUUAUGAAGCUCCUAAAUUCGACCUAAUUGGUGUUGCUUUUUAAAGGGCUAGUUUGCGUUAUGAGAUGUGGUCCUCUACGCAAUCAAGUACCGCAACUUUUCUAAUGUAGUAGGACAACAUUGAUGCCCUUCAAAUCUUAAUCAAGUGAAACUUGUUUGAAGAAUAAAGGAAGCUUCUGCCGUACAACUUCUUUAUACAAAAGUGAUUGAAUCAAGCUAAUGAUUCUUAUUUUUUCUUUUUCUUUUUUUGUGAUAAAAUGGCAGGACUUCACUGCUGGAUGUCGGCAAGUAGAAGAAGUUUUGAAGUGGAGAAUGCAUUCAAUGGAACAAAUCUGUUAGCUAGAUCCAUCUUACUACAGUAAAGUUUGGUUUCGCGAGUUCUUCCGUUAAGAUUUUUUGUUUUUUCCAGAUAAAACUUUUCUGUAAUGAUAAUGUACAUAUUAGUGAGAUCGUUAGCUAUGAAUGUCAUGAGUGCAUUAGUUUUAUACUUGAAAUCUCGAUGAAAGAAAUAUUACACAACAAAAGAACAGAAAAAAAGAAGUGAAAUGUUGCCAUUCAACAGGAAAAGAAAUUUUGAUGAAUACGAAAGGAAUCCCCUGUAUCUUUUUUUCUUUCUUGAUUGGAAAAAGAAUGAAACUUAAUCAGUUCCAUUUUUCUUUCGGAAAAAAGGCAAAUUAGAGAGAUUGUUGUUCCUUGUAUUUCUAUUCAUGUAAUACUUAUGUAUAGUCAAUUUACAGUACGCAUUAGUGAUGAUAAAUUCAUAACAAUGUUUGUUAUAUCUAAGGUGACUUGACAUUGUUAGUUUCACCAAUGUUCGAGGCAUUUAAUUGAACCAUUAGUGAAACCAAUAAAACAUUAAUCCCAGCCCAUUAUUAUUCUUUUUUCAAAACACUUAACUAAAGAGUACACAAGCACAAUAUUAACGGAAAGAAAGAAAUAGAAAAAAGAAAGGAAAAGAGUUAAAAAAAAAAGAAAAAGAAAAGAAAAGAUCCAGGAUAAUAUACAUUGGGGUAAAAUGAUUAUGUUUGAGCAUCCUUUUGCUUUUGCCAAGAUGAGGUUGGAAAAAGCCGCACCUAUCUUUCCUAAAAGCUACAUGGUAAGGUGCACUAACCCAGCAUCUUGGUCCCAUUGGGCCUAUUUAACUUACACAUCCAACAAGUCGAUAUAAACUCAUUCAAGGCCUAUUUAACUUAUACCUACCUCCUACAGCGCAAGUAGUAAAAAAUUUAAUAUUUGAUUUUUGAGAUCUCAAGUUGGAACGAAAUGAAUUACAUAUUAUCUUUCUCUAAAAAAAAAUAAUAUUAUCAAUUUGCCACUCGAAUGCCUUAUUUUUAUAGCACGUGACAGUUCUGCCUGUCUACUUUUACACAGCGCGCGCGCACACGCAGGAACAUAGUGCACACAUGCACUGGAAACGGAGAGACAAAAUAAAUUAGCUCUAGGAAGGGAAAAAGAAAGAGGAGGGCAAGAGAGUAAAUUGUUGAAAGAUGUACAAUAUUUACAUGCAAAUUCACUCCACAUUAUUUUGGUAUAAGCUCAAAUUUUCUAAAGAAAAAGAAAGCGAAAAAGAAAAAAAAGUACAAAAAACACAACAAAUUAAACACCAGCUAGCAAACGCACGGCCAAGUAUUCACCACCACUAAUAAAAGAAAAAGACCAUAAAAACAUACGUUUGACACACAAAAUCAGAUUCGAUAGCAUAAUAAUAUAAAAAGACUGAUGCUGAUGCUGUAAAGCGAAGAUUUAGUGACCGGAGGCGUCGAGAUCAGGUGUUGUUAUAUCUGACUUCGCUGGUACUUGCCGUGAUCCUCGGCAUCGAUCGAUAUCUUCAAGUCGCUAAACUCACUCCUUUUUAAGAUCCAGCAUCUUUCUCUGAUCACUUUAUCUAAAAUCCAAAUCUAGGUAUGGAACAGCAGCCAUAUCUAGUAUAAUAAGUAACUUGGAAGCGGAAAGAAGAGAAGAGAAAAUGAACGAGAUCGGUGCACUCGAUCUUCUGCGUCGAUCAUCUCUUCCAGCUCCGACUCCUGGCGAAGGGAUCGGCGCUUCCGACGACCCACGUCUCCUUGGCGAUGUCCAUGGAGACCUUGAAGAAGUCCGGUGCGUAGCUCAUCAGCACCAGCCUCUCCUUUUCCUUCUCCUUCUCCUUCUCUUUUAUCAUCUUCAUCAUCUGCUCUUCCUUCUUCUCAACAUCAUCAUCAUCAUCAUCAUCAUCAUCAUCCUCCUUCUCUACUUCUGCGCCUUCUUCGCUAUCUUCUCUCCGUUUUCUGCUCAGUAAGCCCUUCGCGGGGGCCGACCUGCACCUCAUCAGCAACAGAGCAUUCGGAGGCGGCACCGCAGACGGUGCAACUUCGUUGUCUUCUUCUUCUUCUUCUUCUUCUUCUUCUUUCUCGUCUUCUUCGUCGACUAAUUCUUCCUCUUGCUCUUCAAAAUCGUUCAAAUAAUACACCACAUUAGAUAUUCUGUAUCUGAACGUACGUUUACAGAAGCUGCAAUUUAAGCAAGUAAGAAAAGAAAUAACCCGAUUGGGUCGUUACCUUCUUUCUUGAACCCAAGGCCUUGGUCCUGCUCUAAGACCAUGAACCACUUUGAGAAAAUAGUCCUCGUCUCACUACUACGACUCUCCCCAUCCCCAUCCCCAUGCUUCGCCUCCACCUCCUCAUCUUCAUCGUCGUCCUCUUCCGCUUCGUCGUCGUCGUCCUCCUCCUCCUCCUCCUCCUCCUCCUCCUCGUCAUCCGUGCUGCACUCUACGGCCCCACGGAACGACCCGAAGCAGCCGAAAUUGAAGUGGACCCCGCGCAGGGCGCCGAGGAACUGCCACGCGUCCUUCUUCAGCCCAAUCGCCUCCAGCCACGUGGGCUUCUUCCUCCGCGCCGUCCGAUCGGCGCGGAGCCGCUCGAUCUCCUCCACGACGGAGAGCCAGGUCCUGGUGGGCCGGGGCUUGGGAGUGGGCUUGGGCCGGCCCACCUUGAUCUGGCCCGCGCACGUGACCUUGGGCGAGGUGGGCUCGUCGUCGGCGUCGGGGGAGCGCGCGCGCCUCGCCGCGGCGGCGGCGCGGGGCUUGGCGAAGAGCGGGCUCGGGCUCGGGUGGCCGCGGGAGUUGGCGGUGGUGGUGAUGCUGGGCCGGGCCGGGUGGCGGAGGUGGCGCUUGCCCGGCUCUGCCUUGCUGGGCCGAGAUGGGCUGCAAAUGGGCUUCGGCAUUAGCGCCAGGUGGGCCCGCGAGGGGAAGCACACCAGCAGGUCCGUUGGACCCGCUCCGUUUCCUCCUCUUCCCUUCAUACCUCCUCCUCCUCAGUUCCUCCUCUCUCUCUCUCUCUACUCCCUCUCUCACUCUCUCUCUCUCUAUUGUUUUUGUAGAACUAUGCUCCUACUCUGCUCUUCAUGGCUCUCUCUCUCUCUCUCUCUCUUUUGCUAAUGUUUUUGCACGAGUAUACUCUGUAGGAGAGGUUAGAGGGGGGAUGGGUAGAGUAGUUUAAAAGGGAGGAGCUUUGCCAGCUUUUUCCUUCUUUAAGCUCUUAAUAUUAUAUAGGGGGCAAGAUUUAAUAUUUUAGGCCAAAAUGUAUGGAGACCGCCUCAAAUAUAGGUAUUUAAAAUGGCCCCCUCAUUGUUUUUGUUUUUAUUGAUUGAUUGAUUUUCUUCUUUGUUUUUCGGUUGUAAGUCUUAAUUGUUUUCAUACGGAGUAAUUUUUUGUUAAAUAAAUUUGUGCUACCCAUUUCAAAAUUCCCUAUUAUUAAGGGCUUUCCGUACAUUUUUUACUUUACCAAUAAUUUUACGUGUUUUCCCUGCUUGCUUUUAUAGUUGAUGAUCACGGGCAUUUGCUCCUUUUGUGGGUCUCAGCCUUUUACUUUUUCUUCCACUUUUUGCCUUUUUUUUUUUUUUUUUUUGCAUGCAGAUAUAAAAGGUAUAAAAGGUAGAUAUAAAUUAAUGAACAAGUCCCCAUCAACUAUUUCAUGAACCAACCAAAACCAACUUUUCCCUGUGAGAGAACAUUUUAUUAAAAAGGUGUAACAUGAAACAUGAGCUUAUACUUAAUUAAAGCUUUGCUUACCAUCAUUACAAUUUUUAAUAUUAAUUACUACAUCAUUAAAAUCCUGUAAUACAAUUUAUUAAAUCUUAAACUACAAGGAACUGUUUUAUGGGCUAUGAUGAACCCUAACAACUAGCUUUUCCACACAAAAGAAAAUAGUUUAAUACGUCAUCAUUCUACGUUUCUUUGCCCCUUAUCUCUCUCUCUCUCUCUCUCUCUCUCUCUCUCUCUCUCCUAUUAAAGUACUAUAUAUUCACAUUAUAUUAAUUAUCAUUGUUAGAUAACCUAAUAAGGUAAAUAAUUUAAGGACUCCAUGUAACCGCAACCAAAUCAUUUAAUUUGCUUUAUAACUUUACCGAAGUGACAUAGCCAAAGCAGUUUUUACUAUUGUCUGAGUAUAUACAUUAUAUCUAACCAUGUUUUAAUUUUUCUUUACUUCGCAAAAUAGUAGAUAUUGCUAUGAUAAUAUUAGCUCCCUUUACCACAAAAUUUUCUACUCUUUGUUCCCAUGGCCACCAACUUCGUAAAGCCUUAAUUAGGAUAGGAAAUUAAAGGGGCCAUCCAACUUGUUAUAUAGUAAAACACACUAAUUAAUUUGGUACUAUGGUCCAACUUGUAUCUAUAUUUAUGAAGUACAAGCUAGUUCAUGCUUCCAUAAACAAUUUAGUAUCACUUAUUCAUGAGUAGGCUUGUAAACAUUAUAUAACCAACUUCUUUUUAAAAUGGAAAUUUUAUUUUACUAACCAAAUUGAUAUAUAUAGUUUUAAUAAGUUUUAAUUCUUUCAAUAAAAUGGCUCGGAGCCAAGAUAUAUGCGGCAUGAUCAAUGAUGAGCUAGUUUAGAAGCAAUGCCUUGAGACGUGGGGGAGAGGAUCGGUCAAGCAAAAGGAAAGCGAGCAAAUGAGAUUUGAUUAAAAAUGUGGAAGGUUUGAUCAUGGGUUUGUAUAUUUAGUAGAGGCAUUGAAUCAAGGUGAUGACAAUAUCAAAUAUUCGAAAGUAAAAAUUUGGUGUCAUUGAGGAUAUAUAUGCACAUGAAAGUUCCUAAAUUUAUUUUCUAUAAAGAGGUUUUUGACGCUUGAAGUACUCACUCUUCUUUUAUGUUUUCUACCUUGUUGCAUUUCAAGCAUAUGUAUGGCUCAAAAUGGAACUUUGCUUUAAUGAGAAAAACAUUUGAGGAUUUUAAUAAAACAUUUGUGAAGUACUCAUUUGAACAACCUUAAUUAUUUGCAAUAGCUCUUAUGCAAAACCGAAGGAUUUUAAGUUAUCUUCUAUCUUUUAAAAUAUAUUUUGACAAAUGGCAGUUAGGCGGCCAAGCAGAUCCUUAAAAAUUUAACAUCUACCCCACAAUCUUGAAAUAGGUUACAUAAACAAAAGGAGAUUGAUAAUGUCCAAGAGAUGCUUAAGAUCAUGUUUAAUUAUUGUAUUCUUUAAGCAAGAAGACUUUUGUGUCAAGUUUUGCUUUUGGAAUAAUGUGGUGUACUAUAUAUUAUUAUGAAGCAUCUCCCGGAAUCAAUUUCUAUAUGGAGUUGGUACAUUCAUUUAUCUGGAAACCAAUCAUAAAGCUAGGGCACUCAAUAUUUUACAAACAAUGAUGUGUAAAGAUGGGGUUUAUGUAAAGAAAGGGUACCAUUAUGAAAGAGGAGUGAUGCUUAAUUGAGAGUAUGUAAAAGGAUGGCCCUCCACUAAGGCCAUAGUGAUAGUGGUUGAUGGAUAUAUAACACCUUUGGUUGAGAACCUAGAAAUAUCUGAGCUACCAAAUUUGAAGUGUUAAGGGAAUGUGCAGUGGUUGCUAAUUUGUUUCCUAUAAGAAUUUUUUUUUUUGUGCAUAUUUUUUUUGUUAUAUUAUCCCAAUAAGUUGGGUUGGAUUAUAAUUAUAGACAAUGGGGGUGUGCUUGGUUCGAAAUCGGAAUCGGUAUCGAAAUAUGAAUGAGAAUAAACUAGAAACAGAAUGCAAAUGAUUCAUUACCUUAUUCUAUUUAGUUCGUCGCCUGAAUCGGAAUAAAAAAUAGAAUAAACUAUUCCCGUUGUCGGUAUUUGGUUCAGAUAGAUAUUAGAAAUGUAAUCAAAUUAAUAUGUUAAUUUUAUCUUUAUAAUAUAUUGGUUUAAAUUCAAACUAAAAAUUAAAUAUUAAAAAUUUACGUCAAAAUUUUAAAAUGAUGUCAAAAUUUUAAAUAUAUUUUUUAAAAAAAAUAAAAAUUGAAAUUGGACGGAUAAUUCAAAAUAUAAAAUAAAAUUUUAAUUUAUUCAAAGUCAAACAUAAAAUUAUAAUUUUAAUUUUAAUUUGAAUCCACAAAUUUAAUUGAAAAUUUAAGUAAAUUUUGAAUAAAAUUUUAGAUUUUAAAUUUAAAUUCAAAUUUAUGUAGAUUCGAAAUGCUUGAUUAAAUUUUAAUUUUAAUUUAAGUUCAAAUUAAAAUAAAAAUUUAUAAAUAUAAUUUUAAUUUCAAUUUAAGUUCAAAUUAAAAUUAAAAUGUAUGAAUAUAAUUUUAAUUUUAAUUUAAGUUCAAAUUAAAAUUAAAAUUUUUAAAUAUAAUUUUUAAAUUUAUAUUUAUAUUUUAAUUAAAAAAUAAGUUAAAAAAAUUAAAUUUAAUCCGAGCAAUGGAACCAAAGACGCCCUAGGUAUCAAUUUUCACAUUGGAUUGGUUGAACAGUGUGUGGAAGGUGCAAAUGGACAAAAUUAAGCUUAGUGGGCCGAAGCAAUUGCGGGCUACCUCCUGGCCUUUUCGGCCCAAAAAAUUUUGGGCCGUUACAUCAAACCACCCCAUUUAAACGAUUUAACAAACCCUACUAAUUAAUUUGGCAUCUUAAUAUUAAUAUAUUACUAAUAAUAAUUUGGAUUUAAACAUUUUUGGGAUUGGGCCUAACUAGUUAUUAGUCCUAAUACACUGGGCUGCUACAAAAUCAAUCCGUAAGCUUGAAUGAAUUUUGGAAAAAAAAAAAAAAAAAAAAAAAAAAGAGAGGAGGAAAAAGAGUGAAGGAGAAGGAUUUGAUGUCAUGAUCAACUUAAACAAAUUGGCUCCAACUAAAGCACAGUUUAAACUGAGAUGUACAACUAUGUUGAAGGGUAGUAGCAAAUCAACUUGUGACAGUAAGUUUGUCCCGUGCGUGCAGGUACUAAACCUUAAUUUUUAUAGAUUAUUAUUAUUAUUAUUAUUUUAGAGAUAAGUAGCAUGCUACCCACUUCGUUUAUUUCAUUUAGAAAUAAACUUAGCUAAAACUGUGAAUCAAGUAGAAUUCGAAUUCGGGACCUCGGAUAUCAACCACCAAGCGCUUUGCCACUUGCGCUAGAUUCGAACUCGGGACCUUGUAGAUUUUUAUGAGCUAAAAACAUGCGGAACUAAAUAGAGUAAUUAUCUACGAAGAUCAGCCCAAAUAAUUAAUAGGCACUAUUCAUCCGGCCCAAACUACCAGCCCACAAAGUACAAGUUUGAAUCAUAAACAUAGUUAGUUAAUUCGGAUUCAGCAAAAAUUCGGUACGGGUAUAAUUCGGAUAAAAUUCGUUUUUAAAUUUUUAAAUUCGUUGAAAAAUACGGCUAAAAAACGGGUUCGGUAAUUAUUCAGAUACGUGAUUUAUACGGAUAUAAUACGUUCACCAAUUAAAAAUUCGGGAUAAAAAAUUCGGCUAUAUAAUAAAUAUAUAAUAAUUAAUAUACUAUAUAUAUUAUUAUUAUAAUUUUUAUAUAUAGAUUAAAUAUAUUCAUAUAUUAAUAAUAAACAUAUAUUAAUAAUACAUAAAAUUUAUAUAUUUAAAAAUAGUAAUAAAUAAUUAUAAAUUUAUAAAUAAAAUAUUAUAUAAAUAUUUAUAUAUAAAAAUAAAAUAAUAUAUAUAAUAAAUGAAUAUAUAUUUAUAAAUAAAAAUUAUAUAUAUAUAUAUAUAUAUAGUAUUAUAUAUAUAAAAGAAGGAGGUCCACUGUGGACCUCCCCUCAUGCAGUCCACGAGGCUGAAAUAGCCUCGUGGACCGCGCAUCAUCCAUGCUUUCAAAACCCCCGCAUUUUUACUGUUCAACUUUCACUUUUCCAGAAGGGCAUCGGGCGAGGGGAUGGGAUCUGCUGCCGCGGCUUUUGCUCCCAGCGCCGGCGAGGGCGGCGGAGGACGAUGACGAUGCGAGCAGCGACGAGAGGGCGACAACGCGAGCGGCCACGAGAGCAGCGACGACACUAGCGGCGAUGACGCGACCCUCGGCCGUGAGUCCGUGACCGUGAUCACAGAUUUUUUGGGCGAAUUAUUCGCGAAUCGCGAAUAAUUCGCGAAUAAUAAUUUUUGAGAAAAAAAUCACACCUUUUUUUGAAUUUUUUGAAAAAAUACGAAAAUCGCCGUUUAAUUCGUCCGUAAAAAAAUUGCCGUUUAAUUUGCGUAUUAAACGCGAAUUAACUAACUAAGAUCAUGAAUCACGUUGGGAACAUCGGUCACACCAAUCGACUUUCAAAACUAGGCCCCUUCACAAGCGGACUCGAGAAGAGUUCAAAUUUUUUCUAAUGUGCCGACAUCAAUCGUCCUUGGGACAGGUACCAUUGUAGUGACAGGCCACAUCAUGCAUCAAUUCCAAAGUCAUUAAUUCAAUUAUGUAUCGGUCGCUAUAUUAUUUUAGCAUUUCUCGAUUAAUCAAAAACUAAAUAAUCUCCAAAUUGGCCCACUAUUUAAAACAAAGAUGCUCUCCCACGUCCACACCACAAAUGCGUUAGUUCACACUGCUCUUUUUUUCUUUUUCUUUUUCUUUUUCUUUUUUUUCUGAGAGAUAGGUAGCACGCUAUCCGUUUCGUUUAUUUCAUUUAGAAAUAAACUUAGCUGAAAGUGUAAAUCAACUAGGAUUCGAACUUGGAAUCUCGGGUACCGACCAUCAAAUUUUUUGUCACUUGCUAUAAGGAUAGUUGGUGUGUUAGUUCACACUGCUACAAAAUUAAUA